AAAUAUAUGAAAGUCCCUCAUAGUCAUGUCCACCGCCUCGAAUUCUAAUUUGUAGGCCAUGUUUCUUGGAGCAAUAUAUAGCUGCCUGGAUUUGAGAUUCAUCAUUAGGAGUGAAAAUAAUUGAUGGUUUGAAAUCGGAAGUUAUCCUUAGAUUACUUGAAAAGGAGUUAUAAAGGGUGGAAUAUGAUGAGUUUUUAGGAGUGUAGAUAACUUGUGAUAUUGAGUUUGAGUUCAUAAUUUUGUGAGAAAGGCAUUCAAGAAAGUCAUCAUGCAGGGUGGUGUUGGCCCAUGAUGAUGAAAGGCAAACUGAGAGAAAGAGAAAUAUUGUUAACUUCUUGAAAGUAGUCAUGAUUGUUUGUUGUAGCAAAUUUUGAUGUUGGAGAAAAUGGAAACUAACAACUCCUAUUUAUAGAUUUAGCUAGGGAGAAAUCAAAGAAGUUUAGUUUCAAACCCUAAGACCACGUGGUAUAGAAUAAUAUUUCGUCGGUUGUUCAUUUUGGUUUUGCACGGCUCUUAAAAAUUAAUGAUUAAUAUAUAUAGUUUAUUACGAUACUUUAAUAUAUUAAAUAUGACAAAUAAAAGUGAAAAUUUAUUUUUAAAAUAGUAAAAAUCUAUGGAGGGAGUAUUAUAUCUUCACCUAACUUUAAUCGUAAAACAUUUCCUAAUCCGUGAUAGAACUUUCUUUUAUUAGGUUUAAAAAGCAAAAUCGAACUCUGCAUGCAAUUAUUUUUUUUCGUGCAAGAAAAGUAUAUAUAUACACACAUUCCAAAGACUCGUCAAUUGUCAUGUUUAUUCACAUAGAAUUAGAUGCACACACUUCCUCAUGCCUAACGUGGAAUAUUAUCCGAUUAUGUUAAAUCAGGUCUUAGGUCUAACUCACACCCCAAAAGCUAGCUCAAAGGGAGGAGGAUUGCCCAAGCCUUAUAAGGAGUUCACCCAUCUCAUUAAACAUCGAUGUGGGACUUUUGUCAUUCUUUAACAUUAUCAAAAAAAACCUACGCAAUUCAAAUUUAGUCAGAGCAUCAAUAUGGACAUCGAACAUUAGGAUCGGGUGGGAAACUAAAAAAAAAGUAUAACUAUUCAUAUCAUUGAUAAUGAUCAAUAAAACUAAUUCGAGAAAAUAUUUUUCUCCUAAGUUGAAAUCUUACAUAUCUUCUAGAUUUGAAUCUUUGAUUAUAAUAACCUACUUUGAUAUAAUUGUGUAGUCGACUAGACAAAUUAUUUUAUGGAUAUUAUUAAUAUAUUAUGUCACUUUUAAUAAAUAAAUUUCAUUUUCAUGUGCAUUAUUGGAACUCGGGGUGUACAUGAUCGGGGUGGUUCGGGUUUUUCAAAUAUCAAACCAAACAAUUUGUGUAAAAAUUUUAAAUUUAUAAACCAAACCAAACUAAUAAAAUUUGGAUUUUUUCGGGUUUUUCAACCUCGGGUUGGUUCGGGUUUUUCAAAUACCAAACCAAACCAUUGUGUCAAAUUUUUUAAUUUAUAAAUCAAAACAAACUAAUAAACCUAGGAUUUUUUCAGAUUUUUGGAUUUUUCUCAUACAAACAUAUAAUUAACUUGUGCUCCAAAUAUUUAUUUAGUCCAGCCAAAAUACAAUUAUCUAAGGUGUUUCUUAAAAAAAUAACACAAAAUAUGAGAUGAGUGAUGAUACUAAAAUAUUCAAUAAAAAAUAAUAAUGAAAUCAUCAUAUAAAAUAAAUAUUGCAAAGUCAUAAUGAAAAUGAUCAUAAUUUAAAAGUACUAAAUCAUGCUAAAAUAAGUUUAAUAAGUAUUAGUUACAUUACUAAAUAUUUAAGGAAAAUUAAAAUUAGAUUAUGCAUUUUAAUUGUCUAAACCAAUGUAAAACUAAAAAACCAAUANNNNNNNNNNNNNNNNNNNNNNNNNNNNNNNNNNNNNNNNNNNNNNNNNNNNNNNNNNNNNNNNNNNNNNNNNNNNNNNNNNNNNNNNNNNNNNNNNNNNNNNNNNNNNNNNNNNNNNNNNNNNNNNNNNNNNNNNNNNNNNNNNNNNNNNNNNNNNNNNNNNNNNNNNNNNNNNNNNNNNNNNNNNNNNNNNNNNNNNNNNNNNNNNNNNNNNNNAAACUUGAAAUAAUAUAUUAAAAGAUAAAAACUAUGAAAUAGUAUAAGAAAUAUUUUAAAAUUAUAUCAAUGUAAAUAUUUUUAUGUAUAAAAUAAAAUUUUAAAAUUACAUAUAUAAUGUCGGGUUGAUUUUUUUUUGUUAAAACCAAACCAACCCAAAUAUAGUCGGGUUUUUUUUUCCAAUAUCAAACCAAGUCAAACAAAACCACUAGUGGGGUUUUUUGUUCGAUUUGACUCGAUUUACGAUUUGGUUCGAUUUUCGGUUAAAUUUUGUACACCCGGAACAUAAAGAUUAAAUAAAUUCUCUGGUCAUCAACGUAUUAAGCAAUUGUCCGACUUGAUUUUUCAAAGGUCAAACUAGACCUUAAUAAGAAAUUGUAAUUUAUGAAAAUUGAUGGGUUUUUGUGUCAAACUUCCUAUAUGUAAAUUGUCCCAAAAUUAUCAUUGACCAAAUCCAUUUUGACCUUUAGAUGAUAAAUAUGGAUAAACAUACUAAUAAUUUUUUUAGACUCUAUCGGAUGGAAAAAUAUCAUAAUAAUAAUUUUUACAUAUAAAAUGACAGCGAAGUUAGAAAUUUUACUAAAAAAGUUAAAACAAAUUUAGUACAUAUAUUUCUAAAAUGAGAAUGUAAUUAUGGUCCAAGAAACUGUGUAAAUUACAAAGCCUACGGUUAUACAUUGAACUCAAAAGGUCUAAAUCAUUGUAAUUAUGAUGAGUAAAUUAAAUAACUUAAAAGCUUAAUUUAAGUAUGUAAAAUUAUUUAAUAAAAUUAGACAAAAUGUUCAAUAAGUCCAAAAUUCCAUACCCAAAUAACCUAAUUAUUAUUUAUUAUUAAAAUUAGUCCUCCUUCUUUCUUCGUUGCUUUCCUUCUUCAUUCCCCCCUUAGUCUGUCAUGUCAGCAAUAUUUAAAACUUCUUAAAUUUCGAUUUUAAAAUUUGAUGCAUCGUAAAUAUGUAUCAUUUCGGAUAAAUAAUAUAUCAAAAGGGAUUUUAAGCUAAAGACAAUAUAGGAAGGAGGGGGCAGGGCCGACUCAACAAGAUCGGGGGCCUAAAGCCAAACUUUAAAGAGAGACCCUAAUAUUUUAAGAAGUAUUUUGUUUCUUUAAUCUCUUUAAUAAUUUUAUUCUUGAUUUCACUUGCCAAUAAGUUUAAUAAUUCACUUUGUAUAUUAUGUCCAAGGUAAUGACUAUGAAUUUCGUCAUGCUUAUUCUUCAAAUAAGUUCUUGCAUAGCUGGAUCAAAUUUAUUAGAGAAAAUGGUCAAAUGCCUCCCAAUCUAUUACCGAAUUCCCAACUACACACUUCAACUUUACGAGUGUCCUAUCACCCCCCUAAAUUGUUUAAAACUGAAAUUAUUACACCCUUAUAAAGGAACAACCACAUUUAUAUUGACAGGUGAAACUCACACGUUUGACACGUGGAUUUCUUUAAAAACUAUUAUUUUUUACCUUUUUCUCCUAUAUUUUUAUCUUCCCUUCCAACACCAAAAGUAUUUUCAUCAUUUUUUUCUUUCAUUGCAAAUAGAAAACUUCACCAAUCAACCUAUCGACACCACCCACUUCCUACCACCAGCAUUAUCAAGUCCUAAAUCUUUUGACAUAUCAAAAAACAUCAAUUAUUAACGCUUCUUUUCUUUCUUUACAAUUGCCUAUAAAUUAAUUCAUAUCUUUUUGGAGGAACUCUAAACAAUUUGACGACUUAUAAUAGCAAAAGGAAAUUUCUAACUAUCUUCCGAAAUCAUUAGAUCUGCACUCAUUUAAAAGUUAGUGUCACACCAUCUCAUCACAUGUGGGUUUCAUUGAAAACCCAAAAUUAUUUCUGGGUUUGAAAUAAAAUUGCCAAAUUGAGGCAUCGAAUAAUCAAGAUAUGAAUUUCCAACCUAAUCGGCCUUGUGGGUUGACAUGUAAAGUGAUGAUUAACAACUCCAAUAAUCUCAAUAAGGAAUUGAUUUUCAAUUUUUUCUAAUUUCAUGCACAAAUUGAAAAAUACAAAUUCAAGAAUCAAGAGGAAUACUAAAAUUUCAUUGUCAAUUAUGUGGAGAUGGUAGUGACGGUGACGAUAGAGAAAAUAGUGGCGGUGGCGAUUUAGAGAUAAUGAGUGGUGGAAUUUGAUCUAGAGUGUAAUGAAGAAGAAAGAAACAAAUAAAGAAAAAAGAAUAAUUAUAAAUACAAGUAUUUCUGAAAAGAAAUAUUAAAAAUAAAAGUUUACUAUUUGAUUUUGGUGCUCACUCUCUCAAGGAGAGUGAAAUACACUCAUUUUGCCACAUAAGCAUUUAGGGAGAUGAUAAUUUCAGUUUUAAAUAGUUUGGGAGGGUGAUAGGACUCCUGUAAAGUUUAAGUGUGUAGUUGGGAAUCCGAUAAUAGAUUGGGGGGCAUUUGACCAUUUUCUCAAUUUAUUAAUCAUUUCAAUUAGGUUUUAAAAAUUACCAUUACUUUCUUGAUAGAUCUUUCCAUUUGUUCCCCUAAAUGCUAAAUUAUUUUUCCAAAGAGUUUUGAUCACGUCAAUAAUUCUUGACAAUACAUUUUUCCGUUGCAAUUUAUCUCUAUCAAUUUGUUCCUGCACAACUUUAUCAAUUGUUUUUUUUUAAUGAAAUCUCAUUUCUAAAUCAAUACACGAGCUCAUAUUAUUAAUAAUAUGUUCAUUCUUUACUUCAUUGACUUUGAGCUUAACACUAAGAUUUCUCCACUCAUUACUACCUUCACUAGCUAGUUUACUACUGCAAAUAAUAGAAGUUGUGCUAAAUAAUUUACAACAAAACAAUUUUUUUUUUAUCCAAAUCUUUAGAGUAGAUUAAUCAUUUUCUUUCAUGCUUUUCUCCGUUUACCAAUUUUUGAAUAUAGUGUGUUGUAGAAAAAUGUUGUACGUAUUUAUCUUGUGGAAAAUUAUAUCAGUCAUUCUAAAUGGUCCAUUUUCUACUAAUAGAUCUCUCAAUUUUUUAUCAACAUUAUUCCAUUGACUUGGAUCUUAUAUAUUUUUAGGGAUGCAACUAUUUAAAUUAUCUAGGAGUUCUUGAUAUCGGGAACAAUGUCACAUUUUCACCAACUUCUUCUAGAUUUUAUUCUUGGGUAUUAUUAUCAUCUAAAUCAAUUCUAUUGGUGACUUGUUCAUUCGAAAUAUUUAUUAUUUGUCAAAAAUCUAAAAGGGAAAAGGCUCAAAUAUGCCAUCGGACUUUCAGAAAAGGCUCAUUUAUGUCAUCCGUUAAAAGUUUGACUCAUUUAUGCCAUUAUCGUUUAAGAAAAGGCUCAUUCAUGCCAUUAUUUUUUAACGGUGAUUUUGCAAAACCAUUUUUUACACAUGGCCAAUUAUAAUUCGGCCACGUCAUUAUUUUUUUUAUUAAUAAAAAAUCAAAAUUCAUAAACAAACAUUGAAUUAAAAUAACCCACCCAACUAAAAACCCACCCAAGUAAAGACCCACCCAAAUUUAAAUCCCUAUAACUCAUCAAUAACCCAAUUUUUCAUUCAAUUUUUCAAUCCAAAAAGCCCUAAGAUCCUUCUCACCCUCUUUCACUUCUUGGGCGAUUGGAUGAGUUCUAACACAUUCCCUAACCCUCAAACUUAAUUCUUCCAUUAUCAUCUCCUUCAAUUAAUUUAUUUUCUAACAAUGUCUGAGGGGUCGAAUGUCUCUUCUAGUUCAAAGAGGAGGUGUUAUUGUGGACUUGAAGUCAGUCAAUUCACGGCGUGGACACCGAUCAAUGGACACCAAAUGGAUGUUACAAAAUGUGUUUGACUGAUAACAACUUCAAGAAUCUAGCUACUGGAGAUGUUGUUGACAAAAUUUGUGUGUCAUUUAUAACACAUGAGGAUUUGGUUGGGACUACAAAUGCUGAGGGUUAUUUCGAGACUUCACUUUUCUACGGAGAUUUCAAAGCUAUUGUUACUCAUCCUAUGAUGGUGGUUUCAAUCUUUCACCACAAUUUAACAGUGAUGCCUACUACAUCUGAAAGUAGCAGUGAAAGAGUAUUCAGUUACAAAUUUAUGGCUGCUUGAGUCAAACAUGCCAUAGGGAUUAUGUGCAGUAAUCUAUUUUCUUUUUUUUGUGUUGCAUUUAAGUGUUUAUCAUAAAUGAAAGUCAGGUUGGAUGAACGAAUUACUUGUUUUCUAUUACUACUAUCAACAUGCUUUUUAGUUGUCAUGUUGCGCUAGAUAUUCGUAACGGAAAGUCUUACAACUUGCAACCUUCUUCAUAUCAAAUAUGUUGAAAAAUACAUCUUAAAAUGUUGGUUAAAUUUUAUAUUGUUUGACUCUCAAAAUUUCGUGAGCUACUCAGUCGCUCCAAUUAUCUUGGUCGAUCGCAAAAGCUUGUCCAUCCCUCCCUUAAUCACAAGGGAAUAACUCUACCCAUAUCACGUCCUAUCGUAGAGUGUUUAAACGACAUCUUACAUCAUGAUAUUAAAAACAGUUCCCAAAAUAAACAACUUUGCUAGAGAAAUGCUAGAGAAGCAUAUCAAAAUGAGAUUAGAAAGCACCAUAAUCUGCUGUAUAAAUUCCAGAGUUGCACUUCACCAUUGACCAACUAUAGAAAGAUAACAGUAACAUGCACCAGACCGUAGACAUUGCCAUACAUGCAUCUAACAAAAAUAAUGACACAAGACCUUCAGCCUCUUAAGUGAAGGAUAAUAAUCACAAUGCAUAAACAAAUUCCAAGCAGUAGCAAUACAAAAGCUCAUUGAAAAGAAUUGUGAUGUCAACCUGCACUAAGGAGUUCCAAUUAUUGCAACCUGCAAUAAAUUAAUUGAAGGAGAUGAUAAUGGAAGAAUUAAGUUUGAGGGUUAGGGAAUGUGUUAAAACUCAUCCAAUUGCCCAAGAAGUGAAAGAGGGUGAGAAGGAUCUUAGGGCUUUUUAGAUUAAAAGUGAAUGAAAAAUUGGGUUACUAUAGGGAUUUAAAUUUGGGUGGGCCUUUACUUGGGUGGGUUAUUAAUUGGGUGGGUUAUUUUAAUUCAAUGUUUGUUCAUGAAUUUUGAUUUUUUAUUAUAAAAAAAAUAAUGACGUGGCCGAAUUAUAAUUGGUCACGUGUAAAAAAUGGUUUUGCAAAACCACCGUUAAAAAAUAAUGGCAUGAAUGAACCUUUUCUUAAACGGUAAUGGCAUAGAUGAGCCAAACUUUUUAACGGAUGGCAUAAAUGAGCCUUUUCUGAAAGUUCGAUGGCAUAUUUGAGCCUUUUCCCAAUCUAAAUAGGGCUCUUUUUUAAGAUUUAUUUAAUUCUUCAAGUUUUCUCUCUUUUUGCAAAAUCAGAAUCAUGUUUUCUAGUUGACAUAUCAAGAUUGAAUCAAUUUUCAUAAUAAUUCAAACAAUUUACAUAUACUUAAGAAUAUCAACAAUAAAAACCUCUUACACGUUUUUUUUUCUCAAAAAAUUAAUAUAAUUUUUUUAUAAUAUAUGUGUUUUACUCGAAAAAUAAAAGAAAAAAUGACUUGUUUCGAAAAAUCGACUAAACUUAUGAUUUGAAGAGAAAUUGAUUUUUUCAAAAGAUACAAAGUCGCCACUUAAUUUUUUUUAGUAAAAAUCAAGAAAAAACUUAAAGUUUUCAAAAGAUUCAAACAGAUAAAAUCAAUUGAAAAAGGGUUCAAGUUCAAUGUACAUUCCGAGAAGGUGUUAAGCCCUCGAAAUGUCCGCUAAAUUGCAGUUGACAGACGAUUUGACUAAAAAUAACUUUGACUAAUUUUUAAACCUUUAACUAAGUACAAGAACUCUUUUCUUUUCUAAUUAACUAUUUCUUAGGGGAAAUAAAAUAAAAGAGAUCAUUCGAAAGGGAAGUAACUUAAGUGUUAACACGACUAAGGCUAAAAUAGAGCUGAGUAAUAAAUAAAACAUAUAUAUAAGAAAAAUAAAUAAAACUUUUGAAUAUAAAGAGAAAUGACUAUCUUCGGGAAUUUAAUUAAGUUAAACCAAAGUGAAAAUAAAUUGUUAGUUAAUUCAAUGAAAUAAAUAAAGAGGAAAAGGGAGAGAAUAUUGAACUUGGGCUUUUUGCCCAAAUUCGAAAUUGGGCUUGCCAACACUUUUAUCCAUGUCCUAUUAUCUAAAGUUUGUCAAUAAUGAUGGGUUUUGGCCCAUCUCAUCAAAAAUCAGCUCCUUAUCAUUUUUGGGUCUGCUGUAAUUUCAUUGGGCUUUGGCCCAUUUUUUGCUACCUGGACCUGCUGGCAACAAAGAUCUUGGGCUUGAAGCCCAUUUUUGAGUUUCCCAGAAUUGUAUACAUUUGUAUACUGAUGUAUAUCAGCCCCUGUUCUUGUAUAUUAUACGUAUACAGACGUAUGCAAUCCAUUUUUUCAGCAUGUGUUUCAUCCCGAUUUUGACCUGUUCAUCGAUUCUAAAGGCUGGCCGACUCGAAGGAAAGGGUUUGAGCCUUUAUGGAUCUCUUGAAAUGCAGGGAAAGAAAAAUAGGAGUUCAUGGCGAACUCGAACAGAUUUCACAUGCCACGAAAAUGAUGAUAAGAAUUAGCCAAGGAAAAGUGACAUGGAAUAAAUAAUAAACUUGAUGAAAGGACAAAUAAAAAUAAAAUGAAGCUAUUAUUUAACUACUCGAACUAGUCAAAACAAAGAAGACUAUGCAUAUACGAACAAUACAACACUCAUAAUAAGUUUCACUCAUAACAUACAGUGGCUAUGAAACAAAAAAAAAACAUGCUACCUUUUUGAACAAAUGGGACAAAUAAAAUUUAUAAAUGAGACCAUCUACAGAGGUGAGUCUCCCAAACAAACAUAACAAAAAGAAGUGAGCAGCCAUGACUUAAACUCAAACAACGACUCAAUCUAAAUAUUAACAUUAUCGGGAAGUUUCUUACGACUAACUUUAAGCCCUUUUAAGGAAUAAAAUGACCAGGGCACAUGAAAUCUGAAAAAUCAUGCUAAGAACACUUUGAUCAAACUUUUAUCAAACUCGUUCACACUAUAUGAAACGCAUGCAGCUGAGCAGGGACAAUUUUGAAAACAAAAAUCCAUGCUCAAAAUAACUAGGUUGCAUUAGGGAAAAUCACACAACUACACUAAACACAAAAGGUCAAUUUUAGUUUCAAAAGAAAGAGCAAAAACAGGAUAUUAAGAGCUAAAAUGAAACCUGAAUAUAAAACACCACACCUUAUCAAAGCUAUAAUCACAUCUCCCAAAUCAGAUUUGCAAUAAUCGAAACAAGAAAAUAAAGUAUAGGCAACACAAUCAGUUGUUAACAUGUAGAACAACAAGAUUACUUAAAACUAGCACUAAUCACACUCUUAUACAAAUAAAAUCAGUAAGGGAACCAUCAUAAGCGACCGCUCAAAUAUCAUCAGAACUAUAAUCAAAUCUGUAGAGAAAAGAAGAGUGAUACAUAAAGAAAACAAGUUGAACAACCCAUAUUUGUCUAAAAAAAAUACGAAAACAGAGAAUAUGACGAGUAUUCAAUGUACUCCACAUAGAAAGCAUCGCAUUAAACUAAAUCCGAACAUGAUAACAUGAAUAUAUCUAGCAAUUAGAGGGAGGACUAUCAUCAAUCAACCCAUAUUCAAGCAUAAUCUAAGUGACAUGAACAUUCAAGGAACAUAAAAGUCGAGAAGAAAGAAAUGAAACGAAAACGAGAUAGGGACAAGGUUGUUACCUUUUCCUAGGCAACGGACUGGGACCAAAACAAACGGAGGAGUAGCGACUUCACCACGAAUGGAAAUCAAAUAGAGCUACUAUGAAGAAUCUCCGAUGCAAGCUUCGAAACAAAUUUCUAGGACUCGGAAUUUCUAGAUUUAACAACUAUAGCUAUCCCUUUCUUCUUACAAAUAUAUUCUUGUAUGUAGUCUUUAGCUACUGGAAAACCGAAAAAUCUAAAGGAAGUCGAAAACCAAAACUCGAACCUAUUUCGUAUUUGGUUUCUAUAGCUAUUUCUUACUAAGUAUUUCUCUCUGUAUCAACUGAAAUCCCAAUUUUUUUCCCAAUCUUUUCCAACUCUCUUACUGAAGGUAAAUGAGGGGUUUAAAUACAGGGGAAAAUAGGGUUCGAUUUAGAGGGGAAAACGGGCAGAUUUGGAUAAGAUUUUAUGAAUUCGAAAUUCGAAAAUCUCUUAACAGAUAAGGUUGGAGCUGGAAUUAGUACAAAUCUCCAACGGAAAACAAUUUUGGGCGCUUGAUUUUCGAGCAAGGACGAGUGAGUUGCGGAGAUGGAGACACAUAAUGAUUCUCCAAAGAUUUUGGUACGAACGAUAAGGAGAGAGGAGGAGGAGGAGGAUGCGCGAGAGCUGGGCUCAAUUUUCUGCUGGACUUGCAAUUCUGGACUGCUUAUGGGUCGCGAUUGCUGCUGAUUUGGGUUGCUGAGUUUCUGGGUUUGUUCGCUGGGAAGAAGAACAAGUUACACGGGUGGGGUAGCGUACUGUUUGCUGUUGUGUUGUUGUGUAUGUGUUUGUUUGGUAUUGUAAUUGGAAUGAGCUUCUUUAGUAUUGUAAUUACGCUUGGAUUGGGUUAUUUGACAAGUUGGGAUGCUGAGAAUUGUUGUUAUAUGGCCCAACUUGGUUUCUUAAAAUUGAGUUGAAGGCAUGGAAGGAAGUGGCUAAAAUUGCUAAUAAGGAAGUAGCCAUUUAGAGUUAACAAUUUAGCCAAAUUGAGUUUAGUUGGUGAUUCGGCUAAAAAUUAAAUUAUAUGAAUUAAUAUAAAUUAAUUAAUGAGCUUCUUAAUCUUAACGAAAUAAAAAAAAUCGACUUAAUUAUAAUAUAAUUAAUCCAAAAAAUGUAAAACUAUUAUAUAACUAAACUAAUUAGUAAAAUAUUUAAACAAAACAAAAUCUUUGUUGAGAUGAUUUUCGAAUAUUUAUAAAAUGUACUGAUUAUAUAUAAAAUUAUAUAAAACUUAUAUAUUAUCUAAAAAUUAUAAAAAAAAAGUGACAAAACUAUUUAAAAUAAGUUGCAAACUAUAUUAUUAUUUAUUUAUUUUUGAAAUUUUGUAAAACUAAUUAUUUUAAAUCAUUUAAAAUUGAAGAAGCUCGAAAUGAUUACUUUAUAUUGUGGAGGUCCAAAAUUGGGUGUCAACAAUAUGUAUAAGUAUUUUUUUAUAAAAUGGGGGGCCCAAAAUAUAUGGGGCCCCAAGCGAUGGCUUUAUUGGCCUAGUGGCUAAGACGGCCCUGGGGGGGGGGGUAAAAAAAAGUCAGGAUAUGACAAAAGCAUCUUUUUGAAUCGAAUGGACUUUUAUGAGAUAUGACGAAAUUUGAUACAUGGAUAUAAAAAGAGGACGCUUUCUUGUGUUGCAUCGAAGACAAUGACCUAAGAGACAAGCACCUUCUCUUAGGUUUCUUCCUCUCGUUCCCAUCGCCGCUCAGUCCGCUUUAGAUCGAAAGAUUAGCAAAGCGGAAAAAGAAAGAGUGAAGGAGAGCAGCAUCUUAUUGAUCUCUUCGCGAAAACUGCCGGAUCGUAGAAGCAAAACAUAGAGAAGAGCUCAUAUCUAAAUUUUGAGACUAUAUCUAGAGGAGAUUUGAGUUGGUUGGGAUUAAGAAAAUUGGUCUACAAUGCAUAUUUUAUUGUAUCAGUAAUGUGUGUGUGUAUAUAUAUAUAUAUAUAUAUAUAUAAAUUCUCUAAUACUACGUAGUUUUACAUUCAUCUGUACAAGAUUAUACACUAUUUAUACAAUAUUGAUACACUAUAUACAUUGUUGAUACAUACAUAUACAUAUGACCAUUUAAAAAUAUUUUUUGUUAAUUUUUUAUGUCAUGUAGACAUAAAUUCCACAAAUAAUAAAAUAUUGAAAAAUCUAAUAUAAAAAAUACGACACUUAUGUUAUAUUAAUUGGAUUUAAUCUUUAGUGAUAUCUUAUUUGUUCUCAAAAUCAUAAUAUUAUUUUAACUAUGACACUGGUGCUACUGCCUAUCACCACUGUCCCAAAGAUCGAAACAGGAAAAUUAUCUCAAGCCACAAUUUAUAUAAAACAUGAAAUCUAUUUCUAUUGAAUUGAAACUUAUUCAACAAAGAUGUUUAGUUUUUUUCCAUACACGAUUUUUUCAAUUAAUUUCGAAGUUUUGAACAUUAGGCAAGUAAUUAAUACAAAUAAAAUCCUACUAAAGUAAGAAAAACCUUGUUCAUUCCUACACAAUCUUUGAAACGUGGCAACAUUUAUUUUUCAGUACUAUAGUUGUAUACAUAUACAUAAAAGAACUUAUUUGUAGAGUGCAUAAAUUAAUUACUACUAAGCUUAAGAUAAUAGAGGAGGAAUACUUUGUUCAUUCCUAAAGAAAUUUGUUGGAUCAAUUUUAGUCUUGAUUUUCACCAAUCUAUCAAAGUUGUUCUUGAAAUAUUUCACUCCCCAAAUUCUUGCUUGUUCAUAGCUUGUGUUUCCUUUGUUGUUCACUCCCAAAUCAAGAUCUCUAUAGUUGAAAUAAGCACCUCUAGGAGAUUUUGACACAUACCUAGCCAUGUAACCAUAAAGUUUUCAAAUCCAAGCUAAGUUACUUUGAGAAUUUUUCACUCUCCCCCAAAACACUGCAUAAUGAAUCAUAAAUAUGUUUCCAGCUCUAUGAGGGAAAGGUGUUUCAUAUUCUGAGAUGUCCCUCAACUUUCCUCCGUAGGGACUAAACUGUAAUUCAACUGAGUUUUCACCUACUUGGUUGAAUAGUUUCCAUAUACCUUCAAGACCAUUAAUAGAAAUUGGUCGUUGGACAUAGUCUGAUUUCCCUUUGAAAUAAUAUUCUUGAUUAGUUGCGCUAUUAUUCCAAUGAAGUAGCACAUCAAGUGAUGUGCCCCUAGGGAAACCAGCAAAGAAGAGUAUAGAUUCGAUCCAACUCAUCUCAAUGCAAUCUUCUUUCACUAACCCUAGUUUCGAGAAACUAUCUUGCAUUUCGUGGAGGAGUUCAUCUACUACUCCAACAAACAUUGUAGUGAAAAAGGCGUAGAUAGUCCUUUGUCCACGCCUGAUUGGAGAUUCACUACUCUUCAGGAAGAGCCUGAGGAGAAGAUUGUCAUCAACUUUGUCCGCGAUAUGUUGCCAUUUGUAGACUAGUUGAGUUGCAUUUUGUUCCAACGUUCGUGUCACGUUGAAUAUAGUCACCUUUUAUAAAAUAUCAAGUAAUUUCACCUUCCAUGAGAUAAUGAGACCAAAACUAGUCCCUCCACCUCCUCUAAUAGCCCAAAAGAGAUCCUCACCCAUUGAUUCUCGAUCCUGAAUUCGUCCAUUAGCAUUAAUUAAUUUUACAUCAAUGAUGUUAUCAACAGAUGUACCAAAUUUUCGUGACAUCAUGCGAUAGCCUCCACCACUAAAGUGUCCACCAACACCAACAGUUGGGCAAGCCCUAGCAACAAAGGCCAAUUUUUUACUUUUUUCCACGAUUCUAUAGUAAACUUAACCAUGGAUCGCGCCAGCUUGAAUUCAAGGAGUCUUGUCUUCAGUAUCUAUGGAGAUUGAUCUUAGGUUUCUAAGAUCAAUUAUGACAAAAGGGGUCUCCGAAAUGUAUGAAAGUCCCUCAUAAACAUGUCCACCGCCUCGAAUUCUAAUUUGUAGGCCAUGUUUCUUGGAGCAAUGUAUAGCUGCCUGGAUUUGGGAUUCAUCAUUAGGAGUGAAAAUAAUUGAUGGUUUGAAGUUAGAGGUUAUCCUUUGGUUAUCUGUAAAGGAGUUCAAAAUGGUAGAAUAUGAAGAGUUUUUAGGAGUGUGGAUAACUUGUGAUAUUGAGUUUGAGUUCAUAAUUUUGUGAGAAAGACAUUUAAAAAAGUCAUCGUGAGUUUUGUUGGCCCAUGAAUAUGAUGAUGAAAACCAAAUUGAGAGAAAGAGAAAUAUUGUGAACUUGUUGAUAAUAGUCAUAAUUGAUUAUUUGUUGUUGCAAAUUUUGAUGAUUGAGAAAAUGGAAACAAGAACUUCUAUUUAUACUUUUAGCUAGACAGAAAAUAAAGUGGCACGUGGUAUUAAACUAUAUAUUAAUACUUUCUCCAUUUGAAUUUAUGUGAGAAGUUUAAGAAUUUUAAAAAAAAAAAACUUAUUGUCUAAAAAUAAGUCACUGAUGUUUGCAUGAUCAUAAAUCAUUUCAAAUAAAAUAUAUAUUUUAUAAUUAAAUUAUUAUUAAAUAUAAAAAUAUAUCAUUAUUUUUCAUACUUACUAAAAAGAAAAAUGAGUCAUAUAAAUUAGAAAAAAUGAGUAAUAUUGUUGUGUUUUCACCUACUUUAUUCGAAAAACAUUUCUUAAUCCGUGAUAGAGUUUUCUUUUUUAGUUUUAAAAGGCAAAAUUGAACUCUGCGUGCAUUUUUUUUUUCGUAAUUGAAAAGUACAUAUACAUUCCAAAGAUUAGUCAAUAAUUGUUAUGCUUAUUCAUAUAUUAUCAGUUUUUAUUUUUAUAUUUUGUUCGUACUUAGCAUUAUUGGUAUAAUUAUUCAUAUCAUUGAUAACGAUCAAUAAAACAAAUUAGAGAAAAUCUUUCUCCAAUUUUUAAAUCUUACAUAUCUUAUCUUCUAGAAUUGAUUAUCAAUGUAUUAUAUAGAAUAUAUAUGUCGCCUUAAAUAAAGAAAUUUGUGUAGAAAACUUCAACAUUUCCUCUGCAUUAUUGGAACAUAAAGAUUAAACAAAUACUCUAGUCAUUAAACGUUACCAUCAUGAGUUGUGAUGCAGUGAUAGAACUGUGCCAUCCUUAUUUGAAGGUCUUGGGUUCGAGCCUUGGGUUUGGAGAAAAUUCUGUUGGGAGCAUUAUAGGUCAAACUAGACCUUAAUAAGAAAUUGUAAUUUCUUAAAUUUAUGAAAAUUGAUGGGUUUUUUGUCCAACUUCCUAUAUGUAUAUUGUCCCAAAAUUAUCAUUGACCAAAUCCACUUUGACCUUUAGAUGAUAAAUAUGGAUAAAGAUGCUAAUAAUUUUCUUAGACGCUAUCGGAUGGAAAAAUAUUAUGAUAAAUUUCUAUAUAUCCGCGGAAAUAAAAUGACGGUAAAAUUAAAAAAUUUAUUAAGGAUAGUUAGAACUUUAGCAUAUAUUUCUAAAAAGUUGAUUUUGAUUUAUAAAUAAGUAUUGUUUUUUAUAUGCACAAUUUAAUUUUUUGACAAAAGGUGUUUGAGUAACCAUCGUUAGGACAAUAUAGCUAUGCCACUUGGAUAUAAAAUGAGAACAUAUAGUAAUAUUGAAGACUUGUAAUUGUGGUCCAAGAAACUGCGCAAAUUACAAAAGGCCUACUCUCAUCCUUUGAAGUAAUUGUGAUGAGUAAAUAUAUCGAAAGCUUACUUAAGUAUAUGAAAUUAUUUCGGAAAACUAAACAAAAUGUCUAUUGGAUCAAGAUUACCUAACUUCUUCUUCCUUCUACUUCACUUUUCUUCUUCCAUACUCAAGACACUAAUUGUGGUUGUUGUUGUUAGGGAAAAUUACCCAUAUAAGCAAACAUAUAAUAGUUAAUUACUUAGCAUAACUAUAGUUUGCCUUAUUUAUAAUUCGCGGUCUACUUUUAGCUAUAAUUACGCAGCUCAACUUUUUAGUUUUGUAUAAUUCGCACGUUUGUAUAAUUCAGAUUUUGUAUAAUAUAAUUUGUAUAACUUUUGUAUAAUUCGUAAUUUGUAUAACUGUUUACACUUCUGAUGUUUGUAAUUGUAUAUAUUCGUUAUUUUGAAUUUAUACAAAAAUAAUUGAAUUAUACAAAUGUACCGGCGAAUUAUACAAACCUAUGAAUUUAUACAAAUCCGCGAAUUAUACAAACGAGAUAGCUUAAAUUGUAGCUACAACCCAUAAAUAUGCAAACUAUAACUAUGGAACUUAAUUAAGUUUAUUAUAGUGGCUAUUUGCGAAAAUUCCUCUUGUUGUUACUGCUUCUGCUAUUGGUAUAACAACCGGUACAUCAUAGGUUAGCCCAACCCAGUCCUCUCGUAUUAGGGUUGGCUCCUCGCAGUUCUCCCUUUAACACCAACAAUUACGUCAUCCAUAAAUCUUUUUUUUAUUUCAAAAUAAUGAUACGCUCUAAAAAAGUAAAGGAGAAGCUUCCAUUCUAGAAAAUCUUCUCUCAAAAAGAGAGAGACCUGAGAUUACAGAGGAAGGUAUUCGGUAGAAAAAAGAUACGAUAGUCAGAACAGCUUUAGUCCAAAAUUGACUAAGGACAGAAGCAAGCUACAAGCCUCUUCUUCUUCUUCUUUCUUUUUUUGUUGCUUUCCUUCUUCAUCCUCUUAUUCUUCCGUACUCGGACAUUAAUUUUAAAAUUUGAUGUGCCGCAAAUAUGAGUUAUUUUGGAUGAAUAAUAUAUUAAAAGACUUUAAACAUUGAGAGGAGUUUAUAUCUAAAUUUUGAGACUAUCUAGAGGAGAUUUCAGUUGGCUGGGAUUAUAUAUAAAAAAAAAAGUUUGCAAUGUAUACUUUAUUGUAUCAACAAUGUAUAUAAAUGUAUAUACAUCUCUAAUACAUAAUUUUAAAUCAUCUAUACACGAUUAUACAUUAUUUAUUCAAUUUUUUUUAAAAUUUUUUUUCCAUGUCUGGGGUGUUAUAUAUCGGAAUAUGCAUACAAGAGAGGGGGUUGGCCUUACCUCCGAACAUAACACAAGGAUACAAAUUUAUCCUUCAAAAAGCGGGCAGAUGAAGCUAUCUUAGACCAUCCAACCCUCGCAAAAAGAACAAUCUAUCUGGCUAACUAACAAAAAAAUUGCCUUGUCAUAUUUGAGACUUAUAGAAGGCAUUUGGUUCUUGUCAAGUUGGAAUGGACCCAUAGCCCCCAUUGGAAGUUGUUGAUAGGUGUCAUAAUAGGCCUCAUUCUGAUUGCUCGCGGCUAAUUUAGCAAGAUGGUUUGCAACCGUAUUGACCUCCCUGAAACAGUGUUCUACCUUGACAUUAGCAAGUUUCUUUAGAUAUUGAACCUCUUCAAUGAUCCUUAAUAGUUUAUAAUUAUAGCAUUUGUUCUCGUUGAUCAUUUGGACAAGAGAUAAUGAAUCCAAUUCAAGGGUAAAGUCUCUAUAAUUCAAAAGUAUACAUCUGCUAACACUUUUUCUUUCAUCAGUAAAUAAUUGCUUAGCUUAUUAAUAUUUCAUUGGACAGUAAAUAAUUGCUUAGCUUAUUAACAUUCCAAGCACCAUCAGAAAUGAAGUUGUUAACCAAGGUGCUAACACUUUUUCUUUCAUCAGGAUAUAUAGUAACUUGCAAGAGGACCUUUUCACUCCAAUCAUCCCACCAGAAGCUACUCACUCCAUCCUGAAUUAAUUUGCCAAAUAUAAUCAUGUGCUUUUCCGCGCUGCUCCUUACUUGAGUCAUCAUCUUCCACAAAUGUGAAUUACCAGAAGCCCACUUUUUAGUAGUACAGUGAGCUCUAACACAAUAUUUAUGUUUCAAAAAGGUACGUAGCCAUACAUACAUGCAUGUUGAUACAUUAUAUAUACAACCAUUAUAAAAUAAUUUUUGUUACUUGUACAUAUUUAUAAGUAACCCAAAUUAUUUAGUAAAGUCACUGAAUUUAGUGUGUAUCAAUAAAAUCACUCUACAUGAUUUGUAUCAUAUAUGAAGCCACUUGUUUGAUUAAAUGACUUAUCAAUGGUCAUAUUAUUCUAUUGUUAAAAAGAGCAUUUUUAGAAACAAAAAAAAAAAGUUGUUUCAUUCGUACACAAUAUUUUUACGUAAUCUUUGGAACGCAUCGUGGCUACAUUUAUUUUUCAGUACUAUAGUAUAGUACAUAUACACGUAAAAGAAAUAUCUAAAAAGCCUUAUUUUUAGACAAGUACCGGAGAUGGCUUUGAUUUGUAUAGUGCAUAAAUUAAUUACCACUAAGCUUAAGAUAAUAGAGGGGGAAUACUUUGUUCAUUUCUAAAGAAAUUUGUUGGAUCAAUUUUUGUCUUCACUUUCACCAAUCUAUCAAAGUUAUUCUUGAAAUAUUUCACUCCCCAAAUUCUUGUUUGUUCAUAGCUUGUGUUUCCAAUAAUAUUGUUCAUUCCUAAAUCAAGAUCUCUAUAGUUGAAAUAAGCAGCUCUUGGAGAUUUUGACACAUACUUAGCCAUGUAUCGAUAAAGUUUUCGAUUCCAAGCUAUGUUUCUCUUAGAAUUUUCCAUUUUCACCCAAAAUACUGCAUACUCGAUCAUGAAUAUAUUUCCAGCUCUAUGAGGGAAAGGAGUUUUAGAUUCUGAGAUUUCACUCAACUUUCCUCCAUAAGGACUAAACUGUAAUUCAACACCCGAAUUUUCGCCUAAUUGAUUGUAUAGUUUCCAUAUACCUUCAAGACCAUUUAUAGAAAUUGGGUGUUGGACAUAGUCUGAUUUCCCUUUGAAAUAGUACUCUUGAUUAGUUGUGCUAUUCCAAUCUAGUAACACAUCAAGUGAUGUGCCCCUAGGGAAACCCGCCAAGAAGAGUAUAGAUUCGAUCCAACUCAUCUCAAUGCAAUCUUCUUUCACUAACCCUAGUUCUGGGAAGCUCUUUUGCAUUUCGCGGAGGAGUUUAUCUACUCCUCCAACAAACAUUGUAGUGAAAAAGGCGUUGACAGUCAUUUGUCCAUGCCUGAAUGGAGAUUCAAUAUUGCUCCUCAGGAAGAUCCUGAGGAGGAGAUUGUCAUCAACUUUGUCCGCGAUAUGUUGCCAUUUGUAGACUAAUUGAGUUACAUUUUGUUCCAACCUUCGUGUCACAUUGAACACGGUUACCUUUUCAGGAAUGUCGACUAAUUUCACCUUCCAUGAGAUAAUGAGACCAAAACUAGUCCCUCCACCUCCUCUAAUAGCCCAAAAGUGAUCCUCACCCAUUGAUUCUCGAUCCUUGAUUAGUCCAUUAGCAUCGAUCAAUUUUGCAUCAAUGAUGUUAUCAGCAGCAGUACCGAACUUUCGUGACAUCAUGCCAUAGCCUCCACCACUAAAGUGUCCACCAACACCAACUGUUGGGCAAACCCCAGCAACUACGGCCAAAUUUUUACUUUUUUGAGCAAUUCUAUAGUAAACUUCCCCUAGGGUCGCACCAGCUUGAAUCCAAGCAGUCUUUUUUUGGGUAUCAAUGGAUAUUGAUCUUAGGUUCCUAAGAUCAAUUAUGAAAAAGGGUGUCUCCGAAGUGUGUGAAAGACCCUCAUAGUCAUGUCCACCACUUCGAAUUCUGAUUUGUAGGUCAUGUAUCUUGGAGCAAUGUAUAGCUGCCUGGAUUUGAGAUUCGUUGGUGGGAGUGAAAAUAAUUGAUGGUUUGAAGUCGGAGGUUAUCCUUAGGUUAUCUGUAAAGGAGUUCAAAAUGGUGGAAUAUGAAGAGUUUUUAGGAGUGUGGAUGACUUGUGAUAUUGAGUUUGAGUUCAUAAUUUUGUGAGUAAGACAUUCAAGAAAGUCAUCAUGAGUUUUGUUGGCCCAUGAUGAUGAAAAGCAAAUUAAGAGAAAGAGAAGGAUUGUUAACUUGUUGAAACUAGUCAUAAUUGAUUAUUUGUUGUUGCAAAGUUUGAUACUGGAGAAAAUAGAAACUAACAACUUCUACUUAUAGUUUUAGCUAGGGGGGAAUUAAAGAAGCUUAAUUAGUUUCAAAUCCUAAUACCUCUAAUUUAUUGGAUCACAAAUACAAAUGAAACUUCCAAGCACCAAAAGGAUUAGUCAAUUGUGAUGUUUAUUCAUAUAAAAGAUCUUCCUCAUGCCUAACGUGGGUUAUUUGUUUAUAUUUUUAUCUUAUGGUCAUAACAUGCGUAUAAUUAUUUAUAUAUCAUUGAUAACGAUCAAUAAAACUAAUUAGACAAAAAAAAAUUCUCCUAUUUUGAAUUUUACAUAUCUUCUAGAUUUGAUUAUAAUAGCCUACUUUCAUAUAAUUGUAUGGUCGAAUAGAUAAGAUUAUCUACUAUAAUGGAUAUUAUCAAUGUAUUAUAAAGAAAUUUGUGUAGAAAACUUAAUAUUUCCUCUGCAUUAUUGGAACAUAAAGUUUAAACAAAUAUUCUAGUCAUUAACGUACACGUUUGUCCGACUUGAUUUUUUAAAUGUCAAACUAUACCUUAAUAAGAAAUUAUAAUUUUUCUAUAUUUAUGAAAAUUGAUGGGGUUUUGUGUCAAACUUCCAAUAUGUCUAUUAUCCCAAAAAUAUCAUUUACCAAAUCCACUUUGACCUUUAGAUGAUAAAUAUGGAUAAAGAUGUUAAUACGAAAAUAUCAAGAUAAAUUUCUACAUAUAUAAUAUAUUGUACAUAUAUCUCCACGGGUAUAAAAUGAGAAGGUAUAAUAAUAUUGACGACUUGUAAUUGUGGUCCAAGACACUGCAUAAAUUAUAAUAUAGGGGUGUCAAAAAUGAACCCAAACAUAGGUUAUAACUCGCCUAACCCGUCCAGAAUUUUAAAGGCUGGGUUCAAUUUCAACCCAUUCAAGCUUAACCCAUUUUAAGAGAAUCCUCAAUUGAGCUCAAUUCAAUCUUCAAUUUCAACCCAUUUUAAAAUUAUUUACUAAGAUAUGUUCCUAUAUUAAAGAUAUGAAUUAUUAUUCUAUUUUAACAUCUUUUAGGAUUUAUCUAUCCAUUUGUUACUUUUUUUAAAAAAAAUCUUGUAGCGAAAAUUCGAAUUGUGAUUAUAAAAGUUAAAUAUCACUAUAUUAAAAUUAUUGAGAUUAAUCGGGUCAAAUUGGGCCGGUCAAGACCCAACCCCUUUUUUAGCCCAUUUGAACCCAAAGUAAAUUUGGGCGGGUCAAGACCCAACCCGAUUUCUAUCUCAACCCAUUUUAAUAUCUCCAAUUUCAACCCAACCUGUCCAUUUGACACCCCUAAGUAAAUAUCUCAAAAGGUUAUAACUCAAGUAUGUAAAAUUAUUAAACAAAGUCAUUAAAUUUAGUUUUGUAUCGAUAAAAUCACUCAACUUAUGACUUUCCUCUUACAAAAUUUGUCACGCCUCGACGGGAUCGACACUUAAUUCGAUUAUUUACCCGAGCAUAUCCAUACAUAACAUGAAACAUUGAGAGCAUACAUCUAGACAUGAGCGGAAAAUAUGAUUUAAGAGCAUUUGUGAAAAAUUGUCACGACUCAGACUGUUGUGAUUGGCACACACACUAACCCUCCGAUGGGAAAAUCACUACUACAACUCAAAUCAAGCAAAUAAACCAAAAACUAAAGCAUUUAAGUUACGAAAGUAAGUUAAAUAGCUAAAGACUAAAGUUCUCAUAAACCUCCAAAAGAUCUAACAACUAAACAAUGCGGAAAAACACAUAGAACCUGAAAGUCAAUGUACCAAAACAUCUAAAGUUCAACAAGUCUAAACAAGAAGGGAUACUACCCCAAACUAAUGACUAAUAACUAACUAGAAAGUCUAAGUCCGAAAUGUGGACAUAGACGGAAAGAGAACUCAUGGCAGCCUGGAAGAACUGGCUCACCUUUAAAUUCGAACGACGAUCACUAAUCUUCUAAGCGAGGUCUGUCAAUAGCCGCCUGAAGAUGCCAUGUACUUAACAAAGAGAGAGCAAGUGCAGUAUCAGUACACAACCACAGUGUACUGGUAGGAUCACACUGCUAUCCCACUAAGUGCAACAUACAUAAGUCAAGACAACAAUACAAUAACAUACAUACACCAAACAUAUACAAUAUUAUCAUCAUUAUACGAACAAUGAACAAUUUCACGAUUCUCAAAUAUCACAGUUAUAUCAUGUCAUUAGUCCUCUCAUGUAACCCAAACACAAAUUGUUAGCAUACCGGAACAUGGUACCCGAUCCAAUGAUUAUGCCGGAACGUGGCAACUGAUCCCAUAAUUAUGCCGGAACGUGGCAACCGAUCCAAGUUAGUGUGUCGGAACGCAACACCCAAUCCAUUCAACAAGCCACAACACAAUCGCAAAGUACAUUAUCAUAAUCAUACAAUCAAGUCAUGAUUCAUGGCAUUCAUCAUUCAUAUAUCCUCAUUUACAAUUAAUGUGAUCAAUAACACAACAUUCGCAUGCAUACAUGUAUCAUAAUGAAGAAAGAACAAACAUGCAUCACACCAUCAUAGAAUCACAACCAUCACCUACCUCGAAAAUAAGCUUGAAACCCUAAGAAACUUGAUCUUUCCCUUUCCGGAUUCGUUCCGCUUGUUCUUGGUCUACAAACAAUCAAUAUAAUACGGGAAUCAAUAAAUAAUCACUAAUUACCCGGAUUACUAACAAUUCUAACAACCCUAGAUCAUACCCAUGAUCCCACUACCCAAACUAGGGCUUUUUCCACCAUAAAUUUCAUAUCAAAACCUCCCCCCAUCGAUAAGUACCCAUUAGAUUACGUUCUAAAUAUUGAAAAACGGAUUCGGGGAGAUAAAACCUUACCUUUAGCCUCAAGAAUGGUGGAAAACUGUCAAGAAAACACAUGGGGUCAUUCCUUAGCUCUUAAAGUCGAAAAGUGCAUAAUAAAAUGUUUUUGGGGUUUAUUUCCGACUUAAGUCGUGUCGGACCCGCCACAACGGUCCUCACCCCGCUACAACGGCCCCGCCCUGGCGCCAGAAACCACCGCCAAAGCGGCUUGCACGAAACAAUGAGCAAAUUAAAGAAUUUCAACCCCCAUUUCACAACACUCCUUCAACCAACGACACUUAGAAACUACCUGCUCACGCUAAGAUCAAUUUCAGGAGUUCUACUCACCCGAAUUCAAUUCUGUAAAGUCGUACGGGUUCCUUAACGACUUAUCUAACUACUCAUGUAACCAAAAUCAUAAUUAGAUCACCCAAUUUCUACCAGAUUUCCCUAGACUUCAAUGACUCUGAUUUCAUCCAAAUCUGGACUAGGUUGAGAAAUUCUAAGAUACUACGAAAAAAAAUUCCGGCCCAAAAUUUUUUCCCGUUGACUUUUCUAUAACGACGAGAAUAGGUCGUUACAAAAAUGAGUUUCUUAAAGGGGUACUUUCCAUAUAUCAUAAUACUAAAAUUCAUAAAAUGAUAGGGAAGUCAAGAAUUGAAAUACAUAUUACUAACUGUCUAUGAAACCCCUCUAAAAUAACUGGAAACUACAUGCAAGGACAAGACCCUAGCAUACCUUUAACAGGAUAUGUUAAAGUAUCACAAGUAAGCACUAAUCCCUAGGCACCAAUACAACAUGAAGUGUAGAGCCUAGCAUGUUGUUUGAUCGUGUGUUCGCAUACCUAAAUCUGCAUCAUUUAAAGAUGUAGCGCCCUCAACAAAAAGAACGAAGUAGAUAUGAAAUUAUAUUGCAUGUAAAAUGGCAGAAUGAUACAUGACAUAUAUCAUAAGAGAAACCAAACAACCAAUAGAAUAAUAAUUAUGGCAUGGAAGGAAAUAAAUAAACAAAAGUCAUUAAGUCUGUCAUCGCAAAUAGUUCGAGAGUUAAUUAAUAUAACCGACACAUUCCAUCACAUGAGCACAUGGAUUCUGAUCUCAACUUAAUAAGCUAAAACAUCUCACAUUUCGAGUGUGAGACAUACAUACAUAUCAUGUGAAUCUAUAAUCAACCCUUAUCAAGGCUACAUAAAGGAAUCGCCCGAACCAAAGAUAUGAUCUUUAAUCAACGUCGACAAAUGUAGUCUCAGACAUUCAUCUCUUAGAUUUAUGCCUUACUCGAUUAAUCAUUUAACUCCUUUGAAUUAUAUAGCAUGUUCAUAAGUUAAGUCUGGUGGCUCAUAUUCAUAAGUUUUGCAUUUCGUGCAUCAUAGCUUGAAACCAUGAAAAACAUAUCAUGUCAUAAGGGUCGUAUCAUAAAUAUUAAUUGAUAUCAAAAGUAAUCAACGAACUUACUUUUUAAAUAGAACUCAUUUCUUUCAUAUUCAUUCAAACAAGUUGUAAACUUGAGAUAAUAGAGGAGGAAUGCUUUGUUCAUUUCUAAAGAAAUUUGUUGGAUCAAUUUUAGUCUUAACUUGCACCAAUCUAUCAAAGUUGUUCUUGAAAUAUCUCUCUCCCCAAAUUCUUGCUUGUGCAUAGCUUGUGCUUCCAUUAAUAUUGUUCACUUCUAAAUCAAGAUCUCUAUAAUUGAAAUCAACAGCUCUAGGAGAUUUUGAUACAUACUUAACCAUGUAUACGUAAAAUUUUCGACUCCAAGCUACAUUUCUUUGAGAAUUUUAAUGUUUCCCCAAUACACCGCAUAUUCGAUCAUGAAUAUAUUUACAACUCUAUGAGGGAAAGAUCAGAUUCUGAUAUGUCACUCAACUUUCCUCUGUAAGGAUUAAACUGUAAUUCAGCACCCAAGUUUUCGCCUAUUAAUUGGUUGAAUAGUUUCCAUAUACCUUCAAGACAAUUUAUAGAAAUUGGUUGUUGGACAUAGUCUGAUUUCCUUUGAAGUAUCCUCUUUGCUUAGUUGUGGUAUUCCAAUUUAGCAACACAUCAAGUGAUGUGCCCCUAGGGAAACCGACAAAGAAGAGUAUCGAUCUAAUCCAACUCAUCUCUAUGCAAUCUUCUUUCAUCAAUUCUAGUUCCGGGAUCCCCCAACGAACACUGUAGUGAAAAAGGUAUAGUCCUUUGCCCACCCCGAAUGGAAAUUCACUAUUUCUCAAGAAGAUCCUGAGGAGGAGAUUGUCAUCAACUUUGUCUGUGAUAUGUUGCCAUUUGUCAAUAAGUUGUGUUGCAUUUUAUUCCAACGUUCAUGGCACAUAUUGAUUCUCAAUCAUGGAUUCGCCCAUUAGUAUCAAUUAGCUUAGCAUCAAUGAUGUUUUCAACAAAAGUACCAAAUUUUCGUGACAUCAUGCCAUAGCCUCCAUAACGAAAGUGUCCACCAAUACCAACAGUUGGGCAAAUCCCAGCAACAAAGGCCAAUUCGUUUACUUUUUUCCGCGAUUCUAUAGUAAACUUCAUCCACACUCCUAAAAUCUCAUGGAGCAGGCUUAUCAUUUUUGACACAUGUUAUGAUCUUAUUGGCUUCUUGUUUGACUUGGCAUUCCACAUUAUUUGUCACAUGAUACCAAACUGGGCCCCUACGAUGAUAUUAAAUUGGACUUAACCAACUGGGUUAAUCCAUUGUAGCCCAAAUCAAUUAAUUUAGGCUUUAAUUAAAUUCAUAUUUAUUAGACUUAAAUAAUUAACCGAAUUAUAUUAAUCUAUUAUAUUUAUUUGGACUAAUAUAUUCAUGAAUUUAAUAUAAUCCGAAUCAUUUUAUAAAUUUAUAUUUAAUACAUUUUAAAUGCUUACACAUAUAUAGGCAUGUUUAAAUGCAUGUGUUGAAUAUAUAACUAAAACAUUUUUAAUACAAAUGUAUUAUAAGUAUUUUGUGUGAAGUUCAAAUAUUACGGUAUAAUUUAAAUUAAUUUUACGUUGUUAAAAUGUAUUAUAUUUGUUGGGAUAACAACAAUAAAAUUUAUAACAAUGUAUAAUAUUGAAUUCAAAUUGUAUUACAACUAUAGUUUAUAUAAUAACACAUAAACUAAUUUGAAUAAUUUUUUGAAUAUUGAAAUUCAGGUAUAUAUCUUUUUAAUAUCGUUUAAUAAGAGAAAAAAUAAAAAAUAAUUAUAAUACAUUUUGAAUUCAAUAUUUGAUACCAUUGGUAUCAAGGAGUAAAUUAGUAGUGGUUUCAUAUAUAUAUAUAUAUAUAUAUACACACUUGAUACAAUCAGAGUAUAUAUAUAUCCUAAUGGUAUCAAGAGUAAAUUAGUAGUUUUUUCUCUGAAUAACUCUUUCAUACCACCAGAGUAUAUAUAUACUUUAAUAGUAUCAAGAAGUAAUUUAGUUAUAUAUACUCUGGUAGUAUCAAAUAUAGAUUUAGUUAAAAUUGAUACCAUCAGGAUAUAUACAUAAUUGGUAUACCACCAGGGUAUAUAUAUAACCUAAUGGGAUCAAGGAGUAGUUGAGUAGUAUUUUCAUUGAAUUACUCUUUGAUACCAUCAGAGUAUAUAUAUACUAUAUACUCUGAUGGUAUCAAGGAAUAACUUAGUAAUGUUUUCACUGAAGUGAGUUUUUCUUCCUUGAUACUACCAGAGUAUGCUUCCUUGAUACAAUCGGAGUAUAUAUAUACUCCAAUGGAAUCAAAUAUCAAAUGGUUAUUAAAGUUAAAGUUAUGUCAUCAAUGAUAAUAAAUAAAAAGGUUGUUUAGUGGGAUAGUUGAGAUCCCUCCACACUUAAUCAGAUGCCUCGGUAAUAAGAAUCGGGUUACCAGAAUAAAUAAAAGAUGCACAUACUUCCUCAUGUUUAACAUGAUACAACAUAGAACGAGUGCGAUAAUAUAUUAAUAGUAUAAGAAAUUCAAAGAUAAAAUUUCUUUGGACUUAGUGACACAAAGUAAUUUUCAAGAGCAAAUAGAAUGUGAAUAUCAGACACUAAAACUGGGUAGAAAACAAAAAAAAUAAUACACCCUCUAUCCCAUGUGACUUACUUUUAUUUUUAGUCAGUUCCAAAAAUAAUAACACAUUUCUAUAUUAAGUAACAAUUUAACUAUAACAUAUUUAUUUUACCCUUAAUGAAAUGAUUUACACACACACAAAUUUCUAUCAUUCAUUUUGGACCACAAGAUUUAAAAGUCUUUCUUUCUUUCUAUAACUCUGUGUCGAGUCAAACUACCUCACAUAAAAUGGGGCAGAAGGAGUAAUAAUUAUGACCCUAAAAUAGAAUGUGAAUACCAGACACUAAAACUGGGUAGAAAACAAAAAAAUAAUUAAUAAUUAUGACCCUAAAAGAAAAAUAAGAAUAAAAACAAAUAAUCCACGUUAGCCAUGAGGAAGCCCCUGCAUCUUCCAUGUGAAUAAAACUAAUAUUCGUGUAUUUUCUCCCAAGCUAAAACUAUAAAUACAAGUUGUUAGUUUCCAUUUAGUCCAACAAUUAUGACUAAGUUAACAAUCUUUGUUUUUCUCUCAAUUUGGUUUUCAUCAUCAUAUUCAAGGUCCAACAAAAUUCAUAUUGAUGACUUUCUUCAAUGCCUUUCUCACAAAAUUAUAAACUCAAACUCAUCACAAAUCAUCCACACUCCUGAAAACUCAUCAUAUUCCACCCUUUUUAACUCCUUUUUUUCAGAUAAUCAAAGGAUAACCUCCAACUUCAAACCAUCAAUUAUUUUCACUCCUACCAAAGAAUCUCAAAUCAAGGCAGCUAUACGUUGCUCCAAGAUACAUGGCCUACAAAUUAGAAUUCGAAGUGGUGGACAUGACCAUGAGGGACUAUCAUACACUUCGGAGACCCCUUUUUUCAUAAUUGAUCUUAGAAACCUAAGAUCAAUAUCCAUUGAUACCCAAAAAAAGACUGCUUGGGUUCAAGCUGGCGCGACCAUAGGGGAACUUUACUAUAGAAUCGCCCAAAAAAGUAAAAAAUUAGCCUUUCCUGCUGGGGUUUGCCCCAAUGUUGGUGUUGGUGGACACUUUAGUGGUGGUGUUAAGAUGAGAGGUUUGAGAAGACGAAACCUCCAUUGAUGAUGAGAGCAUAAAGCUUGAUUAGAGAAGAAGAAUGAAAUUCUGCAUUCUGAAUUAAUUGUGUACAAUGGUAUUGUGACACUAAAACAUUAGUGAAUCUGACGGAGUGUUGUAAAUCUGGGGGUUGAUCAGAGAUCAUUGAAAAUUCAGUCAUACUCUUAGUUAAUUUAUCGAUUUUAUUAUUGAAUUGUUAAUUGAGUUCUGCUUACAUGAAACAAAACAAGAUUGAUUAUUGUUACCAUUUCUGAAAAGGGCAUUUUUUCAUUAUAUUUUUUUAUUAAUAUAAAUAUUUGUGGUUAAUUGUAAAUAUUGAUUGAGCUAGCGAAUCACUCCCUACUAUAUUAUAUUACAGAGAUCACAAGUGACGUCGAUAUAUAAGGCUUUAUCUAGCUAGAGUGCACGAGUUGACAAAUUCUUGGUUAGCAGGAAUUUCUUUGUGCGGGAAAGAAAUUAUUUAUUUGAUAUCAUCCUUUUCUUUUAAAAUCUUGCUUCAUUAGUCAUUUCUCUAAAAAAAAUUGUUUCGUUAAAAAUAUGUUUAAAAUUAAUGAUCUUAUAAUUAUAACUAUUGGUUUUUUUUCAUAGACAAUAAUUGCACUAUUCAACUAUGAAAUUUAGGUUGUAGCCAUUUGAAUAUAUAUUUUUUGUGACAAAAUUUCAUUGUGGCUAAAUUGUAGGUUAAAUAGAGACAAUAAUACAAUUGUCUCUAAUUGUUUGAACUAUUAGUGACAAAAACAAAUGUCACAAUAAAAUACAAAGUCGCAAAUGUAUCAAUAUAAUUUUUGCGAUAAUUUUUUUUUGUAUCCAAAAUUUAAAUAAUUUUAGGAUAAAAAAUGAUUCCUCACUAAUGUAUCAAUAUAUUUUUUGCGACAAAAAUUUUUUGUAUCCAAAAUUUAACUAAUUUUAGGACAAAAAAUUAUUUGUCGAAAAUGUAUCAAUAUAAUUUUUGCGACAAAUUUUUUGUAUCCAAAAUUUAACUAAUUUUAGGAUAAAAAAUUAUUCGUCACUAAUGUAUCAAUAUAUUUUUUGCGACAAAAAUUUUUCGUAAUCAAAAUUUAACUAAUUUUAGGACAAAAAUGGUUUGUUACUAAUGUCUCAAUUUAUUUUUUGUGACAAAAAAAUUUCGUAUCCAAAAUUUAACUGAAUUUAAGACCAAAAAAAGUGCUUUAUCACUAAAUCGGAACAUCAUUAGUGACAAAAUAAUGUGUUAGUGAUAACUCUAAAUUCGUGACUAAUAGUACUCAAUAUAUGGUGUCAAACCAUUUUUUGGUGUGAAACUUUAGUGGACAAAACUUUGUUACGAAUCUUCACGUUUCGUCACUAAAAGUAUGUGUCUCAUAUAUUUAGGCACGAAAUAUAAUUUUUGUCACUAAAAAUGAACAAUUAAUGACGAAUAUCGUAGCUAAUAAUUUUGUAGUUAUAUAUCACAUUUGUUGUAAUGGUUUGUUCUUCUUUAAGAACACCAAAUACACAUGAAGAACAUAAACAACUCCAAAAUUUUCAAUAUCUUCAAUUCUUCACCAAAUCAUCUCAAAUUUCGGCUACAUUAUUAAUUUUUUUAGUAAACUAAAAUUCUAAAAUCAUUUGUAGUGUUUAAAAAAUUCAUCCGUAUUAAAAAAUAUUUCAAAAAAAUGAAAAUCAGUCCCAAAAUUUCAAAAAUUUGCUUUAGUUCAUGUUUUUGAAGUUGUCUUUUGACAUUAGAUCUUUGUUACCUAGUGUUUUUCGAGUGUAUGUUCAAAAUUUCAAAUGAUUUGAAGUUGUGGAGAAAAAUCUACAAUUAAAAAAUGUUGAAGUUUAGAAACUUUGAAGAAAUUUCAAGUGGAUCUUGUUGAGUUAGGUUGAAUCCGCGAUAAAAAAAUAUUGAGUUUUGGUAUCUAGCUCGGAAGGAAACUACUCUUGAAAUUUGAGGUGAUUUCGUGAAGAAUCAAAGAAGUUUGAAAUUUGGGAAUUGUUAAUGUUGUUUAUGUAUUCUUGGUGUUCUUAAGGAAGAUAAAGCAAAAAAAGUACAUUUGAUCCAAAAACUUCAAUUGAAAAGUGUUAAACCUUGUUUGGGGUGUAAAAAGUGGUUUGCAAAACCAGAGUUAAAAAAUGACAUAGAUGAGCCUUUUCUUUAACAACAAUGGCAUAGAUGAGCCAAACUUUUAACGGAUGGUAUAAAUGAGUCUUUUCUGAAAAUUAGAUGGCAUAUUUGAGACUUUUCCCAAUUAAUAAUACCGAAUAACUUGUUUCCAACCAAACAAUCCAUUUUUUAAAUAAUAUGCCAUACCCAUGGCAAACGUGGAUUAUUUGUUUUUAUUUUUUAAUUUAGGGUCAUAACACGAGUAUUAUUAUUUAUAUUAUUGAUAAGGUAAAACUAAUUAGACAAGAUAUUUUUCCUUUGAUAUAGUUGCAUAGUCAAAUAGAUAGAAUAUCUACUACAACGGAUAUUAUCACUUAAACUAUGUCGCUCUUAAUAAAUAAAUUUGUGUAGAAAACUAAACGUUUCCACUUCAUUUUUUUUCUAUGUAGUGUUCGGUAUCCACAUUGGAGUCUCACUAAAUUUAAAUUUUCAUUGAGAAGUCCCACAUUCGGGGGCAAAACACUCUCUAACAAAGACGAUUUCGUACCUAAAGAAACUCGAUGUUGAACUAGACCUUAAUAAGAAAUUUUAAUUUUCUAUAAAUAUAUGAACAUUGAUGGGGUUUUGUAUCAAACUUCCUCUAUGUAUAUUGUCUCAAAACUAUGAUUGACCAAAUCCACUUUGACUUUUAGAUGAUAAAUAUGGAUAAUAGAUGCUAUCAGAUGGAAAAUAUGAUGAUAAAUCUCUACAAAUAUUGUACAUAUCUCCACAGGUAUAAAAUGAGAAGGUAUAAUAAUAAUGAAGACUUGUAAUUUUUCAAGACAUUGAGUAAAUUACAAAGUCUACUCUCCUACAAUGAAUUUAAAACGUCUAAAUUCUUAUAAUUGUGACGAGUAAAGAUUUCAAAAGGUUGUUUAAGUAUGUAAAAUUAUUAAACAAAAUCAUUGAAUUUAGUUUUGUAUCAAUAAGACACUUAUUAACUUAUGACCGUCUUCUUACAAAAUAUGUCACGCUCCGAAUCUACAUUUUGGACAGAAUCAACACCCGAUUUGAUUGUUGACCCGAGUAUCUUAGUCAAUUUAUUCCUACUCGGACCGAAGCGGAAAUAGCCUAGGUUAUUGCCAUUCUUGCUUCUCCUCUUCUUCUUCUAUCUAAGGACAAGGCGGAACUUUUUCUCUAUGUAGGGGGUAGGAAAAAGAAAGAGUUGCAAAAUAUAUAAAAUGAUAUAACUAAUACUCACAUAACUAAUACCUACAUAAUUCUAAUUAACCAGUUACCAAACGACCGACGAGUGUUGCGUUAGUUUUUAUUAACUCAUACUGAUGUACAAGUCCGCGAAUUCUAACAUGAAGAACAUUUAAUAUAUAGAAAAUUUAUUACUUGAAAAAAAUUCAUAAAUCAAACAAUACAUAUCUUACACAAUCUUUGAAUGCUACAUCUAUUUUUUAGUACUAUAUAAUAUAUAAAUUAACUACCAUAUAUUAUAACCUAGAAGUUGAACACACUCAAGAACAAUAAUCACAAACACCAAUAAACAAGUUAAUUAAGCUUAAGAUAAUAGAGGAGGAAUACUUUGUUCAUUCCUAAAGAAAUUUGUUGGAUCAAACUUAGUCUUCACUUGUACUAAUCUAUCAAAGUUGUUCUUGAAGUAUUUCUCCCCCCAAAUUUUUGCUUGUUCAUAGCUUGUGUUUCCAUUAAUAUUGUUGAAUCCUAAAUCAAGAUCUCUAUAGUUGAAAUAAGCAGCUCUAGGAGAUUUUGAUACAUACUUAGCCAUGUAUCCAUAAAGUUUUCGACUCCAAGCUAUAUUUCUUUGAGAAUCUUCAAUUUUUCCCCAAUACACCGCAUAAUCGAUCAUGAAUAUAUUUCCAGCUCUAUGAGGGAAAGGAAUUUCAGAUUCUGAGAUGUCACUCAACUUUCCUCCAUAGGGACUAAACUGUAAUUCAGCCCCCGAGUUUUCGACUGCUAAUUGGUUGAGUAGUUUCCACAUACCUUCAAGACCAUUUAUAGAAAUUGGUUGUUGGACAUAAUCUGAUUUCCCUUUGAAGUAUCCUCUUUGAUUAGUUGUGGUAUUCCAAUUUAGCAACACAUCAAGUGAUGUGCCCCUAGGGAAACCGGCAAAGAAGAGUAUUGAUUCGAUCCAACUCAUCUCAAUGCAAUCUUCCUUCACUAACCCUAGUUCCGGGAACCUAUCUUCCAUUUCGUGGAGGAGGUCAUCACCUCCUCCAACGAACAUUGUAGUGAAAGAGGCGUAGAUAGCCCUUUGCCCACCCCCGAAUGGAAAUUCAGUAUUUCUUAGGAAGAUCCUGAGGAGGAGAUUGUCAUCAACUUUGUCAACGAUAUGUUGCCAUUUGUAAACAAGUUGAGUUGCAUUUUGUUCUAACGUUCGUGGCACAUUGAACACAGUCACCUUUUCAGGAAUAUCGAGUAAUUUCACCUUCCAUGAUAUAAUAAGACCAAAGCUAGUCCCUCCACCUCCUCUAAUAGCCCAAAAGAGAUCCUCACCCAUUGAUUCUCGAUCCUGAAUUCGUCCAUUAGCAUCGAUUAAUUUUGCAUCAAUGAUGUUAUCAGCAGCAGUACCAAAUUUCCGUGACAUCAUACCAUAUCCUCCACCACUAAAGUGUCCACCAACACCAACAGUAGGGCAAGCCCCAGCAACAAAGGCCAAUUUAUUACUGUUUUCUGCGAUUCUAUAGUAAACUUCCCCUAGGGUCGCGCCAGCUUGAAUCCAAGCAGUCUUGUUUUCAGUGUCAAUGGAGAUUAAUCUUAGGUUUCUAAAAUCAAUUACGACGAAGGGGGUGUCCGAAAUAUAAGAAAGUCCCUCAUAGUCAUGUCCACCGCUUCGAAUUCUUAUUUGUAGGUCAUGUAUCUUGGAGCAAUGUAUAGCUACCUGGAUUUGAGAUUCGUUUAUAGGAGUGAAAAUAAUUGAUGGUUUGAAGUUGGAGGUUAUCCUUAGGUUAUGAUCUGAAAAGGAGUUAUAAAUGGUUGAAUAUGAUGAGUUUUUAGGAGUGUGGAUGACUUGUGAUGAAUUUGAGUUCAUAAUUUUGUGAGAAAGACAUUCAACAAAGUCACCAUGAGUUUUGUAGGCCCAUGAAUAUGAUGAUGAAAAGCAAAUUGAGAGAAAGAGAAAGAUUGUUAACUUAGUCAUAAUUGAUUAUUUGUUGUUGCAAAUUUUGAUGAUUGAGAAAAUGGAAACAAGAACUUCUAUUUAUACUUUUAGCUAGACAGAAAAUAAAGUGGCACGUGGUAUUAAACUAUAUAUUAAUACUUUCUCCAUUUGAAUUUAUGUGAGAAGUUUAAGAAUUUUAAAAAAAAAAAACUUAUUGUCUAAAAAUAAGUCACUGAUGUUUGCAUGAUCAUAAAUCAUUUCAAAUAAAAUAUAUAUUUUAUAAUUAAAUUAUUAUUAAAUAUAAAAAUAUAUCAUUAUUUUUCAUACUUACUAAAAAGAAAAAUGAGUCAUAUAAAUUAGAAAAAAUGAGUAAUAUUGUUGUGUUUUCACCUACUUUAUUCGAAAAACAUUUCUUAAUCCGUGAUAGAGUUUUCUUUUUUAGUUUUAAAAGGCAAAAUUGAACUCUGCGUGCAUUUUUUUUUUCGUAAUUGAAAAGUACAUAUACAUUCCAAAGAUUAGUCAAUAAUUGUUAUGCUUAUUCAUAUAUUAUCAGUUUUUAUUUUUAUAUUUUGUUCGUACUUAGCAUUAUUGGUAUAAUUAUUCAUAUCAUUGAUAACGAUCAAUAAAACAAAUCAGAGAAAAUCUUUCUCCAAUUUUUAAAUAUUACAUAUCUUAUCUUCUAGAAUUGAUUAUCAAUAUAUUAUAUAGAAUUAUAUGUCGCCUUAAAUAAAGAAAUUUGUGUAGAAAACUUCAACAUUUCCUCUGCAUUAUUGGAACAUAAAGAUUAAACAAAUACUCUAGUCAUUAAAUGUUACCAUCAUGAGUUGUGGUGCAGUGAUGAGACUGUGCCAUCCUUAUUUGAAGGUCUCGGGUUCGAGCCUUGGGUUUGGAGAAAAUUCUGUUGGGAGCAUUAUAGGUCAAACUAGACCUUAAUAAGAAAUUGUAAUUUCUUAAAUUUAUGAAAAUUGAUGGGGUUUUUUGUCCAACUUCCUAUAUGUAUAUUGUCCCAAAAUUAUCAUUGACUAAAUCCACUUUGACCUUUAGAUGAUAAAUAUGGAUAAAGCUGCUAAUAAUUUUCUUAGACGCUAUCGGAUGGAAAAAAUAUUAUGAUAAAUUUCUAUAUAUCCGCGGAAAUAAAAUGACAGUAAAAUUAAAAAAUUUACUAAGGAUAUUUAAAACUUUAGCAUAUAUUUCUAAAAAGUUGAUUUUGAUUUAUAAAUAAGUAUUAUUUUUUAUAUGCACAAUUUAAUUUUUUGACAAAAGGUGUUUGAGUAACCAUCGUUAGGACAAUAUAGCUAUGCCACUUGGAUAUAAAAUGAGAACAUAAAGUAAUAUUGAAGACUUGUAAUUGGUGGUCCAAGAAACUGCGCAAAUUACAAAAGGCCUACUCUCAUCCUUUGAAGUAAUUGUGAUGAGUAAAUAUAUCGAAAGCUUACUUAAGUAUAUGAAAUUAUUUCGGAAAACUAAACAAAAUGUCUAUUGGAUCAAGAUUACCUAACUUCUUCUUCCUUCUACUUCACUUUUCUUCUUCCAUACUCAAGACACUAAUUGUGGUAGUUGUUGUUAGGGAACAUUACGCAUAUAAGCAAACAUAUAAUAGUUAAUUACUUAGCAUAACUAUAGUUUGCCUUAUUUAUAAUUCGCGGUCUACUUUUAGCUAUAAUUACGCAGCUCAACUUUUUAGUUUUGUAUAAUUCGCACGUUUGUAUAAUUCAGAUUUUGUAUAAUAUAAUUUGUAUAACUUUUGUAUAAUUCGUAAUUUGUAUAACUGUUUACACUUCUGAUGUUUGUAAUUGUAUAUAUUCGUUAUUUUGAAUUUAUACAAAAAUAAUUGAAUUAUACAAAUGUACCGGCGAAUUAUACAAACCUAUGAAUUUAUACAAAUCCGCGAAUUAUACAAACGAGAUAGCUUAAAUUGUAGCUACAACCCAUAAAUAUGCAAACUAUANNNNNNNNNNNNNNNNNNNNNNNNNNNNNNNNNNNNNNNNNNNNNNNNNNNNNNNNNNNNNNNNNNNNNNNNNNNNNNNNNNNNNNNNNNNNNNNNNNNNNNNNNNNNNNNNNNNNNNNNNNNNNNNNNNNNNNNNNNNNNNNNNNNNNNNNNNNNNNNNNNNNNNNNNNNNNNNNNNNNNNNNNNNNNNNNNNNNNNNNNNNNNNNNNNNNNNNNNNNNNNNNNNNNNNNNNNNNNNNNNNNNNNNNNNNNNNNNNNNNNNNNNNNNNNNNNNNNNNNNNNNNNNNNNNNNNNNNNNNNNNNNNNNNNNNNNNNNNNNNNNNNNNNNNNNNNNNNNNNNNNNNNNNNNNNNNNNNNNNNNNNNNNNNNNNNNNNNNNNNNNNNNNNNNNNNNNNNNNNNNNNNNNNNNNNNNNNNNNNNNNNNNNNNNNNNNNNNNNNNNNNNNNNNNNNNNNNAAUUUAUGUUUAUUUGAUUAAUUACCUUUUUAAUGUUACCUUUUUAUUUAUUAUCAUUGAUGACAUAACUUUAACUUUAAUAACCAUUUGAUAUUUGAUACCAUCGGAGUAUAUAUAUACUCCGUUGUAUCAAGGAAGUAUAUUUUGGUGGUAUCAAGGAAGAAAAACUCACUUAAGUGAAAACAUUACUAAGUUAUUCCUUGAUACCAUCAGAGUAUAUAGUAUAUAUAUACUCUGAUGGUAUCAAGGAAUAACUUAGUAAUGUUUUCACUUAAGUGAGUUUUUCUUCCUUGAUACCACCAAAAUAUACUUCCUUGAUACAACGGAGUAUAUAUAUACUCCGAUGGUAUCAAAUAUCAAAUGGUUAUUAAAGUUAAAGUUAUGUCAUCAAUGAUAAUAAAUAAAAAGGUAACAUUAAAAAGGUAAUUAAUCAAAUAAAAUAUAUUAUUUAAGUAAAGUUUUCAAAAUCAAAUAGCAUUAGUUUCUUUUUUUUGAAAAAAUAGUAAUAUCGCCAUGAAAUCCAUUGCAGCGAUGGGAGUUGCUACUAAAGGUAGAAUGUUUUGUGGCGAUUGAAGUAGUCACUAACAAUAGUCAGCACCUUUUUUAGUGGCGAUUUAUUAUUGUCGUCACAAAUAACAUUUAGUUAUGAAAGUACUUGCAACAACUGUAAUGUCACCACUGAAAAUCUUUAGGCGACUUUCUUGCUAUUUGUAGUGACAUUUGUUGCCACUAAAAUUCCAGUUUCUUGUAGUGAUAUCUUGUGUUGGUAAAACACCUCCUUCUUCUUGCUAGAUGUGUUCUUGAUUGUCAGCACAACCUCUCCUGCCUCACUAUGUUAUUCAAUGUGUUGUGAAUUACCAACACGAAUUGUUGGUGGGAUAGUUGAGAUCCCUCCACACUUAAUCAGAUGCCUCGGUUAUAAGAAUCGGGUUACCAGAAUAAAUAAAAGAUGCACAUACUUCCUCAUGUUUAACAUGAUACAACAUAGAACGAGUGCGAUAAUAUAUUAAUAGUAUAAGAAAUUCAAAGAUAAAAUUUCUUUGGACUUAGUGACACAAAGUCAUUUUCAGGAGCAAAUAGAAUGUGAAUACCAGACACUAAAACUGGGUAGAAAACAAAAAAAUAAUUAAUAAUUAUGACCCUAAAAUAAAAAUAAGAAUAAAAACAAAUAAUCCACGUUAGCCAUGAGGAAGCCCCUGCAUCUUCCAUGUGAAUAAAACUAAUACUCGUAAAACUAUAAAUAGAAGUUGUUAGUUUCCAUUUAGUCCAACAAUUAUGACUAAGCUUACAAUCUUUCUUUUUCUUUCUAUUUGGUUUUCAUCAUCCUAUUCAUGGUCCAACAAAACUCAUGAUGACUUUCUUGAAUGCCUUUCUCACAAAAUUAUGAACUCAAACUCAUCACAAGUCAUCCACACUCCUAAAAACUCAUCAUAUUCCACCCUUUUGAACUCCUUUUCAGAUAACCUAAGGAUAACCUCCGACUUCAAACCAUCAAUUAUUUUUACUCCUACCAACGAAUCUCAAAUCCAGGUAGCUAUACAUUGCUCCAAGUUACAUGACCUACAAAUCAGAAUUCGAAGCGGUGGACAUGACCAUGAGGGACUGUCAUACAUUUCAGAGACCCCUUUUUUCAUAAUUGAUCUUAGAAACCUAAGAUCAAUAGCCAUUGAUACCAACAAAAAGACUGCUUGGAUUCAAGCUGGCGCCACCAUAGGGGAACUUUACUAUAGAAUCGCAGAAAAAAGUAAAAAAUUGACCUUUCCUGCUGGAGUUUGCCCCAAUGUUGGUGUUGGUGGACACUUUAGUGGUGGAGGCUAUGGUAUGUUGGCACGGAAAUUUGGUACUGCUGCUGAUAACAUCAUUGAUGCAAAAUUAAUCGAUGCUAAUGGACAAAUCAAGGAUCGAGAAUCAAUGGGUGAGGAUCACUUUUGGGCUAUUAGAGGAGGUGGAGGGACUAGUUUUGGUCUCAUUAUCUCAUGGAAAGUGAAAUUACAUGAUAUUCCAGAAAAGGUAACCGUAUUCAACGUGACACGAACGUUGGAACAAAAUGCAACUCAACUAAUUUACAAAUGGCAACAUAUAGCGGACAAAGUUGAUGACAAUCUCCUCCUGAGGCUCUUCCUGAAGAGCAAUGUUCAAUCUCCAUUCAAGCCUGGACAAAGGAGUAUCCAAGCCAUAUUCUCUACAAUGUUUGUUGGAGGAGUAGAUGAACUCCUCCACGAGAUGCAAAAGAGCUUCCCGGAACUAGAAUUAAUGAAAGAAGAUUGCACUGAGAUGAGUUGGAUUGAAUCUAUAAUAUUCUUCUAUGGCGGUUUCCCUAAUGGCACAUCACCUGAUGCGUUACUAAAUUGGAAUACCACAAGUAAUCUACAUAUAUAUUUUAAAGGGAAAUCAGACUAUGUCCAACACCCAAUUUCUAUAAAGGGUCUUGAAGGUAUAUGGAAACUUUACAACCAAUUGGGCGAAAACACAGGUGUUGAAUUACAGGUUAGUCCCUAUGGAGGAAAGUUGAGUGACAUUUCAGAAUCUGAAACACCUUUCCCUCAUAGAGCUGGAAAUAUAUUCAUGAUCGAGUAUGCGGUUUAUUGGAUAAAAAUGGAAGAUUCUAAGAGAAGCAUAGAUUGGAGUCAAAAGAUCUACACAUACUUGGGUAAGUAUGUGUCAAAAUCUCCUAGAGCUGCUUAUUUCAACUAUAGAGAUCUCGAUUUAGGAAUGAACAACAAAGGAAACACAAGCUAUGAACAAGCAAAAAUUUGGGGGGAGAAAUAUUUCAAGAACAACUUUGAUAGAUUGGUGAAAGUGAAGACAAAAAUUGAUCCAACAAAUUUCUUUAGGAAUGAACAAAGUAUUCCUCCUCUAUUAUCUUAAGCUUAAUUAACUUGUUUAUUGGUGUUUGUGAUUAUUGUUCUUGAGUGUGUUCAACUUCCUUUGAUUAUUGAUUCGCGCUUAGCUUCUUGGCUUUGCCUAUCAGUUUGUGUGACUAUAUAUUACCUUGAGAAAUUAAUGGAGAAAAUCAUGAGCUUACUUGCCAUUACUUAUCGUAUAUAUAUGUAGUAGCAAAUUAAGAUAUCAACUAUUGCUCCAUUUUUAAAACUUUUUUUUGUACUAAACGAUGUAAUAUAUCAUACCUUGAUAUGCAUCGAUAUGAGGAAGUGGCAGAGUGUUACUACUACUAGAGCGGGAUAUAUAAUACGUAUUAUAAAAUUUACUAGAGCUAGUUGACUUUUUUUGCCUAGCAAAUAAAGUUCCUAUUUUGUCUGCUUCUAGUCUCCCAGUUGCACAAACAAUGGAGGAUCUGCCCAUAACAAAAAUGAGUUAGCCUUUGAUACUCCAUUUUAAUGUUUGAAACAUAUUUUUCUUCAAUUAACACUAAGCCAUAACUUUGGACUUCGUGACACAAAGUCAUUUUCAGGAGCAAAAAUAGAAGAAUCAAUAACAAUUUUAUUUUCAAAAUUCAACUAAACCACAAAAUAAGUAGUACUCAAGAAUGUAGCUUUUGUAUUCUUGAAUUAGUGAUCUCAUCAUUUGAUUAAUGUCACUCAAUUUUUAUAAAGUAUUUUCAAGUGUUUGCCUUUUCAAAGAAAAAAAACACUAUUUAUAAGAUAAAAGUUUUAAAAGAAUUUUUUUUUCCAGUAAGUAGAAGUUAUUAAUAGGUUCAUAAAUAUUACAAAUAAACAAGUAACUUUCAAGAACCUAAAACGCAAAACUAAAUGAAGAAUGAAUUCUUGAAAAUUCACAUUAGUUUAUUUUGGAAAUUAAUAAUUUUUCUCGGAACCGUUUCAAAAUUAAUUGAAAUAAUAAUUCUUACAAUCACUUAGUUUUCAAAAAAAAAAAAUAGCAUGAGUUUUUUGACACCUUACGACCAUUAUCCUACAUGUUGGGGUUGCAUUUGGAUUUGGGAGAUCCGGUGGUUUCGAUUGUUGUUUGGCUCGCGUCGGAGUUACUUUCAAACCCCCUUCGUCUAAUAAAUACAUGAUUAAAAUUAUUAUUAUUUGUAUAAAGAGUAGAUAUCAAAUUCUCCUAGCUAAUUCAUAUGUUAAUUACUUCUUUAGAUCUUGAACCCUUUAGUAAAAAUCCUGGCUCCACUACUGCCCAUCAAAGGGCACUCAAGUUGCAGACAGUAUUAGAGUUUUCUUUUCUACACUUUUUUUCUUACACUUAUUAUCCGCAUCAAAUUCAUAUUAUCCCUUCAAAUACUUGUAAAGUAUGCAAAUCUGGGGAAAGAAACUAUUUAUCACUUCUUUAACAUCAAUGAUCCCUAUUGUUUCCUCAAGCAACUCUUCACUAAGAGUGCUCACACUCACUACAAUACUAUGCAUACUUCAAUUAUAAUUUUUUCCAUUCUAUGUCAUCUUUGGGAAUCUCAAAAUGAUCGCAUCUUUUAGCACAAAUAUUCCCAACCCAAUACUGCAGUAAUUCAGAACUUUGCACUAGAAUAAUAUCAUAUAGGGCUUAACAACAAAAACUGAUUGUGCUUUAAACCCUUAUAUCCAUACUCAAGGAAUUGGUGGAGUCUUUUCAUGAUUUUGCAGGAAACUUGAUAAUUGGUUUUGCAGGAGAAGUGAAUCCAGAUAUACCUUUGCAAGAAAAGCAUUGGCACUGCUCCGCAACCUACAACGUGCAAUAGCUCAUUAUUUGACAUCACUACAAAUCAAUAUAGAUGUUAAAGAGGUUCUUCAACAUAUCCAAAACACAUCUAACUCUCAUAAGUCAAUUUUUUAUGAUUGCAAGCACCUCCUCAACCACCUGAAAGAUCCAUCAUUUGCACAUGUGUACAUGGAGCAAAAUGCAGUCGCUGAAAAAAUGGCACAUUUUGGUUCUUCAAUGAAUGGUGGCAGCAUAAGGAUAUUUAACCAACCUCCUAUUUUUGUUAUGGAUCUCCUAGAAGCAGGUCAAAGAGGGGUUACAAAAUCAAGAAUUAUAGCUCAUGCUCCAUCCAACACAAACAAGAAUGUUAUCGUGAUUAGUUCACAAUUUUUUUUGUACUAAAAGUUUUUGUAAUGUCAGUAAUAUAGGUACUAUGCUAAUCAUCCUUCUAGUUCAAAAUAUAGAAUAGAUACUAGUACUCACUCUUUGUAUCCCACUCAUGGGAAUCUAGCUUCAUGUACACUUUCUCUGAUAUAUAUAUAUAUAUAUAUAUAUAUAUCUUAUUAAUUAAACUAUGAAAUUUUUAAACUAGGAAGCUUUUAAAAGUUGAAACUACUUUAGCAUUCAACUUUUUGGGCUCUUUUAUUGAGUUGGCCAAAUCUUCUUCCUUUUGAGCUUGAAUUUGGACACUUCUUUAGUGAUAAACAUAUUCUUGAUUUUCCAUUGAAGUCUGUCAUCUCAAGUGCAAGUAGGCCGACAUGAUUACUAUCACUUGGGUUUGAGCUUCUGAAAUAGAAAAAAAAAUGUUGGGAGCUAGUGCCACCAUCAUAAGUGGAUGACAAGAGGGAAUUGCUCGGAUGGUAAGCACCUUUCACUUUCAACCCGAAUGUUGCGAGUUCGAGUCACUAAGGGAGAAAAACGGGUGGGAGCUAAAAAAAACCAUCAUAAGUGGGUCAUGCAACUAUGAAAUUUGGAUUUAAUCUAAUAUCAAUGCGGUUACACCCCAUAAAUGGAACCCGCAGGUGCAUGAUCCGAAUUUCUGAAGAUCCAUGGAAAAAUCGUCCUAAGUUAGUUGUCAUAUGUCGAAGAAAUCCCCUUUUCAUCAAGGAUAUGUAUAUAUUAUCAAUAAUAUUUUCUACUAGCUUACCAAACAACAACUAAAAAAAAGAAGUAAAUAGCUACUAAUUAAUUAUGUUUUUCAGAAAACAUUUUUCAGUUAUCUCAUUUAGUGGGACAGGUUUUCAUAGUCUUGCAACAUAUGACAAACAACAGAGGCAAUGAAUGAUUGUAUUUUGCACCUAAUCUAUUUGGUGUCAACAAAAUAUGAACUUUCGUUGUUUUUUUUUAUUAUCCCGUUUUAUUUUAUGAGAAUUAAUUUGAUUAAUUUUUAAAAUUAAAUUAAAUUAGAUUAAUUUAAUAUUUUAAAUUUGAAUGUUCGAAAAUUAUAAGAAAAAUACUUUAACUUUCCAGAAGUUAAUAGAUGAAACUAUCAUGCACUAUUUUUUCUGGAUAUAUCAUGCCUCCAUUUAAUACAUAAAAGCCUUAUUUUUUUAAACCAGUAAUAUAAUGGCUUCGCAAUAAACUGCAUAAAUUACUACUAAUCAAAUUAAGAUAAUAGAGGAGGAAUACUUUGUUCAUUCCUAAAGAAAUUUGUUGGAUCAAUUUUUGUCUUAACUUUCACCAAUCUAUCAAAGUUGUUCUUGAAAUAUUUCACUCCCCAAACUCUUGCUUGAUCAUAGCUUGUGUUUCUUUUAUUGUUCACUCCUAAAUCAAGAUCUCUAUAGUUGAAAUAAGCAGCUCUCGGAGAUUUUGACACAUACUUAGCCAUGUAUCGAUAAAGUUUUCGAUUCCAAGCUAUGUUUCUUUUAGAAUUUUCAAUAUUCCCCCAAUUCACACCAUAAUGUAUCAUAAAUAUAUUUCCGGCUCUAUGAGGGAAAGGAGUUUCAGAUUCUGAUUUCUCACUCAACUUUCCUCCCCAAGGACUAAAUUCUAACAUGGCGUUCGAGUUUUUGAUUGAUGAUAAUUGGUUGAGUAGUUUCCAUAUACCUUCAAGACCAUUUAUAGAAAUUGGGUGUUGGACGUAGUCUGAUUUCCCUUUGAAGAAUCCUACAUUAUAAGUUGAGCUAUUCCAAUGUAGUAGCACAUCAGGUGAUGUGCCCCUAGGGAGACUGUUAAAGAAGAGUAUCGAUUCGAUCCAACUCAUUUCAAUGCAAUCUUUCUUCACUAACCCUAGUUCCGGGAACCUAUCUUGCAUUUCAUGGAGGAGAUCAUCGACUCCUCCAAUGAACAUUGUAAAGAAGAAGGCGUGGACAGUCUUUUUCCCAUGGCUGAGUUGAGAUUCAGUAUUCCACAAGAAGAUCCUGAGGAGGAGAUUGUCAUCAACUUUGUCCGCGAUAUGUUGCCAUUUGUAAAUUAGUUGAGUUGCAUUUUGUUCCAACGUUCGUGUGACUUUGAAUACGGUUACCUUUUCUGGAAUAUCAAGUAAUUUCACUUUCCAUGAGAUAAUGAGACCAAAACUAGUCCCUCCACCUCCUCUAAUAGCCCAAAAGUGAUCCUCACCCAUUGAUUCUCGAUCUUGAAUUUGUCCGCUAGCAUCGAUUAAUUUUGCAUCAAUGAUGUUAUCAGCAGCAGUACCAAAUUUUCGUGACAUCAUGCUAUAGCCUCCACCACUUAAGUGUCCACCAACACCAACACUAGGGCAAACCCCAGCAAUAAAGGCCAGUUUUUUACUUUUUUGAGCGAUUCUAUAGUAAACUUCCCCUAGGGUCGCCCCAGCUUGAAUCCAAGCAGUCCUUUUCUCGGUAUCAAUGGAUAUUGAUCUUAGGUUUCUAAGAUCAAUUACGACAAAGGGGUUCUCAGAAAUGUAUGAAAGUCCCUCAUAGUCAUGUCCACCGCUUCGAAUUCUGAUUUGUAGGUCAUGUACCUUGGAGCAAUGUAUAGCUGCCUGGAUUUGUGAUGCAUUCGUAGGUGUGAAAAUAAUUGAUGGUUUGAAGUCAGAGGUUAUCCUUGGGUUUUGUGAAAAAAAGGAGUUAUAAAUGCUUGAAUAUGAUGAGUUCUUAGGAGUGUGGAUGACUUGUGAUAAUAAGGUUGAGUUUAUAAUUUUGUGAGAAAGACAUUCAACAAAGUUAUCAUGAGUUUUGUUAGCCCAUGAUGAUGAAAUUAGGCAAAUUGAGAGAAAGAGAAAGAUUGUUAAGUACUUGCUCAUAAUUGAUUAUUUUAUUCGUUGUUGAAAAGUUUGAUGAUGAAGAGAAUGAAAAUUAACAACUUGUAUUUAUAGGGAGAAAUUAAAGAAGCUUAGUUUAUAAAUUAAUUCUAAAAGAUUUUCUUUAAUUUGUUGUCACAAUCAAAUUAAAAGAUGCACAUGCUUCCUCAUGUUUAACAUGGAUUAUUCGUUUUAUAUUUUGUGAUACAACUUAGAAUGAGUAUGAUAAUAGUAUAAGAAAUUCAAAGAUAAAAUUUCUUUGGACUUAGUGACACAAAGUAAUUUUCAAGAGCAAAUAGAAUGUGAAUAUCAGACACUAAAACUGGGUAGAAAACAAAAAAAAUAAUACACCCUCUAUCCCAUGUGACUUACUUUUAUUUUUAGUCAGUUCCAAAAAUAAUAACACAUUUCUAUAUUAAGUAACAAUUUAACUAUAACAUAUUUAUUUUACCCUUAAUGAAAUGAUUUACACACACACAAAUUUCUAUCAUUCAUUUUGGACCACAAGAUUUAAAAGUCUUUCUUUCUUUCUAUAACUCUGUGUCGAGUCAAACUACCUCACAUAAAAUGGGGCAGAAGGAGUAAUAAUUAUGACCCUAAAAUAGAAUGUGAAUACCAGACACUAAAACUGGGUAGAAAACAAAAAAAUAAUUAAUAAUUAUGACCCUAAAAGAAAAAAUAAAGAAUAAAAACAAAAUAAAUCCACGUUAGCCAUGAGGAAGCCCCUGCAUCUUCCAUGUGAAUAAAACUAAUAUUCGUGUAUUUUCUCCCUAGCUAAAACUAUAAAUACAAGUUGUUAGUUUCCAUUUAGUCCACAAUUAUGACUACGUUAACAAUCUUUGUUUUUCUCUCAAUUUGGUUUUCAUCAUCAUAUUCAUGGUCCAACAAAACUCAUAUUGAUGACUUUCUUCAAUGCCUUUCUCACAAAAUUAUAAACUCAAACUCAUCACAAAUCAUCCACACUCCUGAAAACUACAUCAUAUUCCACCCUUUUUAACUCCUUUUUUUCAGAUAAUCAAAGGAUAACCUCCGACGUCAAACCAUCAAUUAUUUUCACUCCUACCAAAGAAUCUCAAAUCAAGGCAGCUAUACGUUGCUCCAAGAUACAUGGCCUACAAAUUAGAAUUCGAAGUGGUGGACAUGACCAUGAGGGACUUUCAUACACUUCAGAGACCCCUUUUUUCAUAAUUGAUCUUAGGAACCUAAGAUCAAUAUCCAUUGAUACCCAAAAAAAGACUGCUUGGGCUCAAGCUGGCGCCACCAUAGGGGAACUUUACUAUAGAAUCGCCCAAAAAAGCAAAAAAUUAGCCUUUCCUGCUGGGGUUUGCCCCAAUGUUGGUGUUGGUGGACACUUUAGUGGUGGAGGCUAUGGGUAUGUUGGCACGGAAAUUCGGUACUGCUGCUGAUAACAUCAUUGAUGCAAAAUUAAUUGAUGCUAAUGGACAAAUCCUGGAUCGAGAAUCAAUGGGUGAGGAUCACUUUUGGGCUAUUAGAGGAGGUGGAGGGACUAGUUUUGGUAUCAUUACCUCAUGGAAAGUGAAAUUACAUGAUAUUCCAGAAAAGGUAACUGUAUUCAACGUGACACGAACGUUGGAACAAAAUGCAACUCAACUAGUCUACAAAUGGCAGCAUAUCGCAGACAAAGUUGAUGACAAUCUCCUCCUGAGGCUCUUCCUGAGGAGCAAUAUUUCUUCUCCAUUCAAGCGUGGACAAAGGAGUAUCAAUGCCAUAUUCUUUACAAUGUUUGUUGGAGGAGUAGAUGAACUCCUCCACGAAAUGAAAAAGAGCUUCCCGGAACUAGGACUAAUGAAAGAAGAUUGCAUUGAGAUGAGUUGGAUUGAAUCUAUAAUCUUCUUCUAUAUCGGUUUCCCUAAGGGCACAUCACCUGAUGUGUUACUAAAUUGGAAUACCACAACUAAAAAAUAUUUGUAUUUUAAAGGGAAAUCAGACUAUGUCCAACACCCAAUUUCUAUAAAGGGUCUUGAAGGUAUAUGGAAACUAUACAACAAAUUGGGCGAAAAUGCAGGCGUUGAAUUACAAUUUAGUCCCUAUGGAGGAAAGUUGAGUGAGAUAUCAGAAUCUGAAACACCUUUCCCUCAUAGAGCUGGAAAUAUAUUCAUGAUCGAGUAUGCGGCUUUUUGGAUGAAAAUGGAAAAUUCUAAGAGAAGCUUAGAUUGGAGUCGAAAACUUUAUAGAUACAUGGCUAAGUAUGUGUCAAAAUCUCCUAGAGCAGCUUAUUUCAACUAUAGAGAUCUUGAUAUAGGAGUGAACAAUAUUAAUGGAAACACAAGCUAUGAACAAGCAAGAAUUUGGGGAGUGAAAUAUUUCAAGAACAACUUUGAUAGAUUGGUGAAAAUCAAGACAAAAAUUGAUCCAACAAAUAUCUUUAGGAAUGAACAAAGUAUUCCUUCUCUAUUAUCUUAAGCUUAACUUGUUCUUGAGUGUGUGUGACUAUUAAUUGUCGCUUAGCUUUUUGGCUUUGCCUAUCAGUUUGAAUGACUAUAUAUUAUCUUGAGAAAACUAAAUGACUUUUGUUCACUUUACUCCUAAGGAUUAGUCCUUAUGAUAUUUUAAUAUAUCAUGUCACUGCAAUAAAAAUAUUUUUUAGCGGCAAUAAAUAUACCCAUUAACAAAGAGUGUUAAAGUCUAUAUCGGCAUUAGUUAACUGUCAUUGGAUCCAAUAUCACUAUAGGUUUUAGGGACAUUCACAAAGAAUGCUAAUUGCCGCUAAAAAUACAUAUUUAAUGGCAAUUAAGCUAUUGACAUUAAUUAAUUGCUGCUAAUGAUUAUUUAUGGUGUAGUGUGUUAAAAGUAUGAUAGGGUUGAUAGGGUCUUGUCCCUGCAUGUAGUUUCCAGUUAUGUUAGAGGGACUUCAUAGAAAGUUAGUAAUAUGUAUUUCAGUUCUUGACUUCCGUAUCAUUUUAUGAAUUUUAGUACUAUGAUAUAGGGAAAAAUUAAUUAACUUUAUCAAAAAGAUAAUAAUCUAUUAACAGUGCAAAGGACUUCUGUUCAUUGUGACACUAAAACAUUAAUGAAUCUGACGGAGUGUUGUAAAUCUGGGGGUUGAUCAGAGAUCAUUGAAAAUUCAGUCAUACUCUUAGUAAAUUUAUCGAUUUUAUUAUUGAAUUGUUAAUUGAGUUCUGCUUACUUGAAACAAAACAAGAUUGAUUAUUGUUACCAUUUCUGGAAAGGGCAUUUUUUCAUUAUAUUUUUUUAUUAAUAUAAACAUUUGUGGUUAAUUGUAAUUAUUGAUUGAGCUAGUGAAUCACUCUCUACUAUAUUAUAUUACAGAGAUCACAAGUGACGUCGAUAUAUAAGGCUUUCUCUAGCUAGAGUGCACGAGUUGACAAAUUCUUGGUUAGCAGAAAUUGCUUUGCGCGGGCAAGAAAUUAUUUAUUUGAUAUCAUCCUUUUCUUUUAAACUCUUGCUUCAUUAGUCAUUUCUCUAAAAAAUAUUGUUUCGUUAAAAAUAUGUUUAAAAUUAAUGAUCUUAUAAUUAUAACUAUUGGUUUUUUUUCGUAGACAAUAAUUGCACUAUUCAACUAUGAAAUUUAGGUUGUAGCCAUUUGAAUAUAUAUCUUUUGUGACAAAAUUUCAUUGUGGCUAAAUUGUAGGUUAAAUAGAGACAAUAAUACAAUUGUCUCUAAUUGUUUGAACUAUUAGUGACAAAAACAAUUGUCACAAUAGAAUACAAUUUUUUGUGGCUAAGGUAUACAAUAUAAUUAACUACAAAUUAUAGUUUGUCUCUAAUGUAUAAAUAUUUUUUUGAGAAUGAGUUUUUUGUAUUCAAAAUUUAACUAAUUUUAGGACAAAAAAUGAUUUGUCGCAAAUGUAUCAAUAUAAUUUUUGCGAUAAUUUUUUUUUGUAUCCAAAAUUUAAAUAAUUUUAGGAUAAAAAAUGAUUCCUCACUAAUGUAUCAAUAUAUUUUUUGCGACAAAAAAUUUUCGUAUUCAAAAUUUAACUAAUUUUAGGACAAAAAUGAUUUGUCACUAAUGUCUCAAUAUAUUUUUUGUGACAAAAAAAUUUCGUAUCCAAAAUUUAACUGAAUUUAAGACCAAAAAAUGUGCUUUAUCACUAAAUGGGAACAUCAUUAGUGACAAAAUAAUGUGUUAGUGAUAACUCUAAAUUCGUGAUUAAUAGUACUCAAUAUAUGGUGUCAAACCAUUUUUUGGUGGGAAACUUUAGUGCACAAAACUUUGUUACAAAUCUUCACGUUUCGUCACUAAAGUAUGUGUCUCAUAUAUUUAGGCACGAAAUAUAAUUUUUGUCACUAAAAGUGAACAAUUAAUGGCGAAUAUCGUAGCUAAUAAUUUUGUAGCUAUAUAUCACAUUUGUUGUAAUGGUUUGUUCUUCUAAGAACACCAAGAACACAUGAAGAAUAGAAACAACUCCCAAAUUUUCAACAUCUUCAAUUCUUUACGAAAUCAUCUCAAAUUUCGACUACAUUAUUAAUUUUUUUAGUAAACUAAAAUUCUAAAAUCAUUUGUAGAGUUUAAAAAAAUCAUCCUUAUUAAAAAAUAUUUCAAAAAAAUGAAAAUCAGUUCCAAAAUUUCAAAAAUUUGCUUUAGUUCAUGAUUUUGAAGUUGUUUUUUGACAUUAGAUCUUUGUUACCUAGUGUUUUUCGAGUGUAUGUUCAAAAUUUCAAAUGAUUUGAAGUUAUGGAGAAAAAUCUACAAUUAAAGAAUGUUGAAGUUUUGAAACUUUGAAGAAAUUUCAAGUGGAUCUUAUUGAGUUAGGUUGAAUCCGCGAUCAAAAAAUAUUGAGUUUUGGUAUCUAGCUCGGAAGGAAACUACUCUUGAAAUUUGAGGUGAUUUCGUGAAGAAUCAAAGAAGUUUGAAAUUUGGGAAUUGUUAAUGUUGUUUAUGUGUUCUUGGUGUUCUUAAGGAAGAAAAAGCAAAAAAAGUACAUUGAUCCAAAAAUUUCAAUUGAAAAGUGUUAGACCUUGUUUGGGGUGUAAAAAGUGGUUUGCAAAACCAGAGUUAAAAAAUGGCAUGGAUGAGCCUUUUCUUUAACAACAAUGGCAUAGAUGAGCCAAACUUUUAAUGGAUGGUAUAAAUGAGUCUUUUCUGAAAAUUAGAUGGCAUAUUUGAGACUUUUCCCAAUUAAUAAUACCGAAUAACUUGUUUCCAACCAAACAAUCCAUUUUUUAAAUAAUAUGCCAUACCCAUGGCAAACGUGGAUUAUUUGUUUUUAUUUUUAUUUUAGGGUCAUAACACGAAUAUUAUUAUUUAUAUCAUUGAUAAGGUAAAACUAAUUAGACAAGAUAUUUUUCCUUUGAUAGAGUUGCAUAGUCAAAUAGAUAGAAUAUCUACUACAACGGAUAUUAACACUUAAACUAUGUCGCUCUUAAUAAAUAAAUUUGUGUAGAAAACUAAACAUUUCCACUUCAUUUUUUUUCUACGUAGUAUUCGGUAUCCAUAUUGGAGUCUGACUAAAUUUAAAUUUGCAUUGGGAAGUCCCACAUUCGGGGGUAAAGCACUCUCUAACAAAGACGAUUUCGUACCUAAAGAAACUCAAUGUUAAACUAGACCUUAAUAAGAAAUUUUAAUUUUCUAUAAUAUAUGAACAUUGAUGGGGUUUUGUAUCAAACUUCCUAUAUGUAUAUUGUCUCAAAAAUAUGAUUGACCAAAUCCACUUUGACUUUUAGAUGAUAAAUAUGGAUAAUAGAUGCUAUCAGAUGGACAAUAAGAUGAUAAAUCUCAACAAAUAUUGUACAUAUCUCCACAGGUAUAAAAUGAGAAGGUAUAAUAAUAUUGAAGACUUGUAUUUUUUCAAGACGUUGAGUAAAUUACAAAGUCUACUCUCCUACAAUGAAUUAAAACGUCUAAAUUCUUAUAAUUGUGACGAGUAAAGAUUUCAAAAGGUUGUUUAAGUAUGUAAAAUUAUUAAACAAAAUUAUUGAAUUUAGUUUUGUAUCAAUAAGACACUUAUUAAGUUAUGACCGUCUUCUUACAAAAUAUGUCACGCUCCAAAUCUACAUUUUGGACAGAAUCAACACCCGAUUUGAUUGUUGACCCGAGUAUCUUAGUCAAUUUAUUCCUACUCAGACCAAAGCGGAAAUAGCGGAGGUUAUUGUCAUUCUUGCUUCUCCUCUUCUUCUUCUAUCUAAGGACAAGGCGGAACUUUUUCUCUUCGUAGGGGUAGGAAAAAGAAAGAGUUACAAAAUAUAUAAAAUGAAAUAACUAAUACCUACAUAAUUCUAAUUAACCAGUUACCAAACGACCGACGAGUAUUGCGUUAGUUUUUAUUAACUCAUACUGAUGUACAAGUCCGCGAAUUCUAACAUGAAGAACAUUUAAUAUAUAUAGAAAAUUUAUUACUUGGAAAAAAUUCAUAAAUCAAACAAUACAUAUCUUACACAAUCUUUGAAUGCUACAUCUAAUUUUUAGUACUAUAUAAUAUAUAAAUUAACUACCAUAUAUUAUAACCUAUAGAUAAUAGAGGAGGAAUACUUUGUUCAUUCCUAAAGAAAUUUGUUGGAUCAAACUUAGUCUUCACUUGUACUAAUCUAUCAAAGUUGUUCUUGAAGUAUUUCUCCCCCCAAAUUUUUGCUUGUUCAUAGCUUGUGUUUCCAUUAAUAUUGUUGAAUCCUAAAUCAAGAUCUCUAUAGUUGAAAUAAGCAGCUCUAGGAGAUUUUGAUACAUACUUAGCCAUGUAUCCAUAAAGUUUUCGACUCCAAGCUAUAUUUCUUUGAGAAUCUUCAAUUUUUCCCUAAUACACCGCAUACUCGAUCAUGAAUAUAUUUCUAGCUCUAUGAGGGAAAGGAAUUUCAGAUUCUGAGAUGUCACUCAACUUUCCUCCAUAGGGACUAAACUGUAAUUCAGCCCCCGAGUUUUCGACUGCUAAUUGGUUGAGUAGUUUUCCACAUACCUUCAAGACCAUUUAUAGAAAUUGGUUGUUGGACAUAAUCUGAUUUCCCUUUGAAGUAUCCUCUUUGAUUAGUUGUGGUAUUCCAAUUUAGCAACACACCAAGUGAUGUGCCCCUAGGGAAACCGGCAAAGAAGAGUAUCGAUUCGAUCCAACUCAUCUCAAUGCAAUCUUCCUUCACUAACCCUAGUUCCGGGAACCUAUCUUCCAUUUCGUGGAGGAGGUCAUCAACUCCUCCAACGAACAUUGUCGUGAAAGAGGCGUAGAUAGCCCUUUGCCCACCCCCGAAUGGAAAUUCACUAUUUCUCAAGAAGAUCCUGAGGAGGAGAUUGUCAUCAACUUUGUCUGCGAUAUGUUGCCAUUUGUAAACAAGUUGAGUUGCAUUUUGUUCUAACGCUCGUGGCACAUUGAACGCGGUCACCUUUUCAGGAAUAUCGAGUAAUUUCACCUUCCAUGAUAUAAUAAGACCAAAGCUAGUCCCUCCACCUCCUCUAAUAGCCCAAAAGAGAUCCUCACCCAUUGAUUCUCGAUCCUGAAUUUGUCCAUUAGCAUCGAUUAAUUUUGCAUCAAUGAUGUUAUCGGCAGCAGUACCAAAUUUUCGUGACAUCAUGCUAUAGCCUCCACCACUAAAGUGUCCACCAACACCAACAGUAGGGCAAGCCCCAGCAACAAAGGCCAAUUUAUUACUUUUUUCUGCGAUUCUAUAGUAAACUUCCCCUAGGGUCGCGCCAGCUUGAAUCCAAGCAGUCUUGUUUUCAGUGUCAAUGGAGAUUAAUCUUAUGUUUCUAAGAUCAAUUAGGACAAAGGGGGUCUCGGAAAUAUAUGAAAGUCCCUCAUAGUCAUGUCCAGUGGCGGACCCAGGAUUUUCACGAAGUGGGUUCAAGAUAUAAAAAUAUACCUAAUAUUAUUUGUAAUUUUUNNNNNNNNNNNNNNNNNNNNNNNNNNNNNNNNNNNNNNNNNNNNNNNNNNNNNNNNNNNNNNNNNNNNNNNNNNNNNNNNNNNNNNNNNNNNNNNNNNNNNNNNNNNNNNNNNNNNNNNNNNNNNNNNNNNNNNNNNNNNNNNNNNNNNNNNNNNNNNNNNNNNNNNNNNNNNNNNNNNNNNNNNNNNNNNNNNNNNNNNNNNNNNNNNNNNNNNNNNNNNNNNNNNNNNNNNNNNNNNNNNNNNNNNNNNAAAAUAUUAAACAAAAUAAUUAUAACCUUAAUUUCAUAAUCGAAUACAUAGAAAUAUACCUAAUAUUAUUUGUAAUUUUUGUUGAUUUUAGAAUGAUAAGGGAUUUUUUAGUUGAAGAAAUAAAAAAUAACCACAAUAAUCAUAUAUGUAUAUAUAAAGACUAGAAUCAAGAGCGAAAAACAUUCAACAAAGAAGAAGACAAAAGGAUUUUUAGAAUUGAGAAUAAUAGGGAUUAGUACCUUUUUGGUUGAGUUUUUUUUUAAAAAAAAAAUAAAAACAAAAAGGACAAAAGUUGUUGACUAUUGGACUUUUAAUUGUAAAAGUAAAAAAUUGUUCUACUUUUUAUAGGUUCUAAGUAACUAAAAGGACAAAAGUUACACCUAUAUAGAGGACAAAAUUGGGUGUGAACGUUUUAUAUAUAAAAAAAAUGAAUUAAAACUAAAAUGUGGCAAUGGGGAUUCGAUCCCGGGUUGGCUGGGAGAAUUGAACCCCCUCAACCACUCGGCUAAGCUUCAGACAUGUGUUAGUGGGUUCAAAAUUUAAUAUAUACAUAUAAAAUUUUAAAAACUGAUUAAAUAUACAUAUAUAUACAGUGUUAUUUCUCAACGAAGUGGGUUCAUAUGAACCCACUUGAACCACUGUAGGUCCGCCCCUGGUCAUGUCCACCACUUCGAAUUCUAAUUUGUAGGUCAUGUAACUUGGAGCAAUGUAUAGCUACCUGGAUUUGAGAUUCGUUUAUAGGAGUGAAAAUAAUUGAUGGUUUGAAGUUAGAAGUUAUCCUUAGGUUACGAUCUGAAAAGGAGUUAUAAAUGGUGGAAUAUGAUGAGUUUUUAGGAGUGUGGAUGACUUGUGAU
rnacentral:lncRNA from 1 species